GUAACAUGUAGUAAUUAGAUCCAGUUCACAUAUUGAAUACCUUUGGUUGUCCUCCAAUUUUUGCUGAUCUAUCCCACAUAAUUUUUCUUCUUUUUUCCACACAAUUUUUCUUCUUCUUGCCACAUAAUUUUUGCGGCUACCAUGUUUGACAAUAAAAAUUGGUAUACAGUCAUCUACAAAAAUCAUCCCCUGGAUACAAAUAGUACAUCCCCCUGGUACAAAUAGUACAUCCCCCUGGUUAGCAAUUUUGCAGAUGUAGAAGUACAGUUCCAUUACCGGUUAACCACUAUCUACGUUCUUAUUUUCACUAGGAGUUACAUUAAAAUAAUUCAUUCAUAUGUUCUGUAUAAAGGAAUAGACAAAAAUGGCACCACUUUGUUUUACCUAUGUACAAAUAACUGUCUGAUUGGAUAUUACAACAACAAACAAGAAGAGGCGCUUCAUGAUCAUUUGAUUUAGAACUACAACCUAAAAAAUAAAUGGUCUGUCCAGUUAUUAAUAUUCUGGUUUCAUACUGCAACAUAGAAAAGUGAUUAAAACAAGCCCAAGUAAUCUGUCCUGCUGCACUUUCUUAUCUAUAAUCCUGAUGCCAAUUUGUUUCAUGUGCCUGGAAGUGAUGGGAGAAGGUGCAGGAGAAGGAUUUAGAAGUUCUUAAUUUGCAGGUGCAAUUUUUUUAUGUGACGCAUCUAUGUGACGCUUGACUUAUCUUAUUUCCAAAAUCAAACACUUCAUACUCGUGCUAAUGAUUAGAACCUGAUGAUUGGGAAGCUGAUGAGGAUGUCGAUCUCGAGACGGCUAAUGAAGAUUCCAACGAACCCGAUGUACCGGAUCCAAACGAUGCGGUUUAUGCUAAUGUCCCUGACGAGACGCACAUGCUCAAGCUAGAGGAUAACUGCAAGCACUGCAAUGCAAAGAAGUUUGAGUCCGAGCCACCUGAAUUCUGUUGUCAUAGACACCACCGGAACUCGUGAGACUGUGGUUGAGCUCGGACGCUGAUGCUAGGCAUUUCCGUGCAAACAUCAGAUAUUUCAAUGAACACUUCUCUUUCACUUCUCUAUACUGUAAACUUGAUCGUGUGACCACCGACAUGACAAACUGUGGAAUUUACACAUUUCAUGCCCAUGACCAAAUCUACCAUAACAUAUGAUCAUUUGGUAAAGAGGAUGGUCACGAACCUGGACACCUCGAGCUUUAUUUUUACGACGACGAUCUGUCUCUUCAGCAUAGGCUCCGCAAGUGCCGUGAGAAGUCUGCCCAAGAAGAUAGGAGGUCAUCUAGAGGCUAAAGGACAUCUUACAUGGCAUUAAUCCCUGCUUAGAGAAUCUUAGGAGUAUAGGCCAGGUUGACAACCUUGAGGAUUACUAUGUCGAGUUGAACCUUGACCAACGGCUAGACCAGAGAACAUAUAAUGUGCCAUUAACGUCGUUGCUGCCGUUUGGAUUGAGGGGAGCGAGCCUCGGGGCCAGUUCGAUAAUAGUGUUGUCCUCCAAGGGAAGGAUAGGUCGAUCCAUGGUAUUCGGCCCUAUCGUGUGUGCUACGAUGCUCUCUCAUACCCGCUAUUCUUUCCAAGAGGUGAGCUCGGGUGGCACAAUUGCAUUCCAAAAGUUGGUGUGACUGAGGUUGAAGUAAAUAAAGCUCGAGCGAUCCGCAAGGCGCGUGCUGAUGGUGGUGGCGACAAUGAUGCUGGUAAAUUCAUAUGUCUUUAUAGUGUCUUACAAACAUUAGACAAAUUUUCCGCAUGUCGUCAAUCACGGCCGCCUUUUUUUGGUUCGUCGUUUGGCUUCGUUUGUCUGCCUCGCCGCUCAGUUUUUCUCAAGAACAGUCCGUCUCCCCGCCCACGUUCGCCGACAGACGCACCUCACCUCCUCCGUGCUGCACCCGGCCGCACCUCCUCCAUCCGCCCUCCGCCACUUAGCCAAGCCGUGCCUCACCUCCUCUGUCCUCCGAGCGCGGAACCACGCCCGCGCUUUCCCCGCCCGGCCGCACCUCCUACCUGCUACGCUCGGCCGCAGCUCCUCUGUCCGCCGCCAAGACGGGCCACCUCCGUCCGCUGGGCGUCCAACACCGGCGCGCCACUGCCCAGCUGCCCCUCCACACCCCUCCACACCGGCGCCAUCCCCGGCUGCUCCUCCAUGAAGGGAUCUCCAAAUUAGUCCCAUAUGCAGCGGAGGUGAGAAGAUGGAGGCACGAGAGGUGGGGCCUAUCUCGAGCCCGGUGUCAUCUGCCUUCAUGAAGGGAUCUCCAGGUUAGUCCCUUAUGCAUGCAAACAAAUCUAAUCAGCAGCCUCUCCUUUGCACCAACGAACAGAUCCAAUUGUUCUUGAAAAUCAGGUCCAAGUUCACAUCUCUUUUGCCCUCCCACUCAAAGCACAAUCAGCCAGCGCGACAGGGAUGGCGACACAGACACCGACGGCUGGAGCUCCCUCAAUGCUGCCAGGUAAUUGACUAGCCAAUUACUAUUUGGAUGUGAUGCACAUUGGUCACGGAUUUGUAAAUCUAUCAGUUCCUGCUUCCUGCAUCCAUUUGUGCAGUUCUUGUGGUGGAUGCAGUGCACUGAGUAUAGAAAUUAUUUUUGAUUACUUCUGUGAAACGUUUUGGCCUUGGCAAGUAUGUACAGAUUUAGUUGUUGUUUUUUCAGUCAGAGGUGAGCUACGUGUAUGGGAAAGAAAAACUUGAUUGCUUGUUCUAGAUCUUGCCUUCAUAUAAACUGUGAUGCUAUCAACAUGGAGAUUUGAUGCAUUCUACUCUCUCUCUAUUUAACAUGGAAAAGAACUCGUGUUUACUCAAUAAUGCUUAUGAAUUUUCCUUAGAGUUGCAUUUAUUCAUCAUUCUAAAGUAUUCCGUGUCAAGUAAACUCAUACUUCUAAUUUUUCAAAAAAAAAAUCUGAAAUCAAUGAACCCCUCCUUCCUUGUGAAAUUGUUGUACCUUUUUUCUUAUGACAUCUUAUCUACUUCCACUUUCCUGGUGCAGAAUUUUUGAAAGUAGGAAACGUAAGCAAUGACAGUGACAGUCGCAGCAAUACUGAGCUCAAUAGGUGAACUAGACAAACCAUUCUGCUGUAGUUCAUUUUAUCACUGCAGUCAUCGUCAGACAAUGAGGUCAGAACCAGCAGGUUCGCAGAGUGACUUGUGACUUGUGGAUAAUCCUGCAGAUUCAACAAUGGUAAAGUAACGAAUGGUUAAGGUAUAAGUAGAUUUACUCAAUUAUACUCCAAUAGCUAAUGCAUUGCAUAUAUUGCUUGGCCGUGUAUAUAAAUAUUACAUCACUGUUCAACAUAAGUAAAUAGCUUAGUCCUUCUUAAGUCCAUUUUGGUAAAAGCUAUAGUUCAAUUAGUUUUCUUGAUUUUCUUAAAAUUUUACUCAAAGUUUGUGCCUUAUGUUGUACAUUUGCCUCACGGGCUGGCUAACUGACCUACAUGAGGCUGGCCAACUGAUCUGGAGGUUCACUAUCUAUGUUCUUUCAUUUCAUUGUCAAACAUAGAUAUUCUAAAUCUGAAAGUCUGUCGAAAUUUCCUAUGGAGUCUUGUGGUACCUUUAGUGUUUCUUAUCAUGUCCAGUAGAAGGUCUUGGAAAACAUAUUUGCAAUACAUGAUAUUUUUUAAAUCAAAAGUAGUAAUAUGCUGUGUAAUUGCCUUCUUGCCUCCUGACAUGUGGCAAAUUCAUUGAGCGUUUUCACUUACAUCGCUGGCAUAUUCAGUGAACAACGCAAAGAUGAUGGUUUUGAGUGAGAGGUCCUUUGGUCAAGGUAAUUUCAGAGCAUUGAUUUUCAAUGUACUUGUAAACCCAAGAGAAAGUUGAGCAGGCCACAUUCAGUUGUUAACUGGACUGUUGGCUUGCUGCUAUGGCAACAUGUUUUCAGCCUUAUUAUUACUUGCCGAGUUUACAUUGGGAUCUGAAAACUGGACUGUGUGCCAUUAGUUUUGUCUGUCUCCAGGACAUUGCCCAUGCACAUGAACUGACUGAUUACCAUGAAAAUUCACCUGUUUCAGUUCCAAACUAAUUAUUGCUUCAAGGUCACAAAGCUAUAUGAAAAUCUGUAUCCAAUUGAAUGCCGGAACUCUCUAGGAUGAUGUCAGGCAUUCCCAUUUAUAGGUUAACCUGAAGUGAUUCUUGAAGAUUAGUUUCUGCGUGGUUGAUUUGAAUUGUUUGUAAUAUUGUAUGCUUCAUCUUGAUUACUAUCAAUUUCACAGGUCAUGUUCAUUGUGAGGAAUGGAGCGCAAUAAUGCUUUGUGGUAACUCUGGGCAGACGAAAAUAGGCCACCUCUACCAUUUUCUUGAUAUUUAUUUUCUGAUAUCUGACUAUUGUAUUUGUCGUGAAAUUUAAAUUGUAGACGCUAUCAGAUCAUGUGUCACUUCAUGCUUUGAUCAUGUGAAAAAAUUCAGUGUAUUUACCCAUGAUCGGUGCCUUGCCCCGAGGGGUCUUUAAUUCCUGGAGGGGUCUUUAAUUCCUGAAUUAGGCAACGGUGAAUUUUCUUCUUAAUAUAUAGAUGCGCAGCUCUCCCGCAUGUUCGAGAAAAAUGAGGCAACAGUGACACAGCGCUGGUAGAAAGUAGAAAGUGAAGAAGCGGUUUGAGCAUAUUGCUACUGACAGCUACCUCCGCAAGAUUUGGCCGGUACUGCAAGCUCUGAGUUUCACAACUCUGAACCACUUGGUAAAAAACAGUCUGAAUUUUGUGUUGUGAUUAACUGACUAGACAUCCGAAUAAAUUAAUGUACUGAUAUUCUGAAAUUUGUUUUAGCACUGGGACUCUCUGGACUAUCCGGUGGAAUCAGGCCUUGGCAGGACUGAGGCAGAUGUGGGGGGUGACACCGUGCAGGUGAGGUGGUGGUGGUAUCUGGCUCUGGCAUCUCCCUUUAUCCGCUUGAUGGAAUGGCAGCAUGGGUAUGGAGACACCUUCAGCAUCUAAACAAAGCCCAAAAGGUACAAAGAUACUAUUUAAUCACUUUUGAUUUGUUAAUUUGCUAUCAUAUAAAUUGCAGUAACAGGUCUUGAGUAAUAUGUCAAUGCUAUAAUUUUGCUUGCUUGUUGUGUGUCCUCUCUAAAAUCUUUUCUUUACCAUAUAUAUCCAUAUGCACAAGAUAUUUGCAGUUACAAGUAUAAUCCUCAAGGAGUGAAAAGCUUGUGAUUCUGUCCGUGCAGGCAACAGGCAUUGAUCGCUAAUCAGCAUGGCCUCCACAAGUACCCAUCAUGGGAAGUGCAGCAACCAGUAUUGUGUUCAAACCUGAAGAAAAUAUAUGGGGAUGGCUGGGUGGCUGCACAGCUCAUGGCAGGGACCAAUUUGGAGUCUGCAUCUUCUUUCCCAUAUAUAUAUGAUAUUUCCAUAUACUGUCAGGAUGCUAUUAAACUGCCUUCACCAGAUUACAAUAAACUGUGAACUUCAGAACUUUAAUUUUCGAUAAGUUGGAGUCGACGCUUAAAACUUCAGAGCUUUAUUUACUCCUAUGUACCAACAGCUCUAAAUUUUUGUGCACUGCACCCUUAGUUUUUUAGUGAACAAUACUGAUUGCUGAGGUUAUAAUGCAUCUUUCUAUGUGGGACUAUAGUUUUGUCAAGUAAGGCUAUGUACACAUUGAUAAAUCUGCUUCAGAAUAAUAUUGCUAAUAUCUCACUAUCUGAAGAAAGUCAGGUUUAUCAGUUAUUUAUAGAAGACUUGCUUGUUAGAAAGGACCUAAAUAGGUUUUCUUUGUCUAUGUGAAUUUUCGGGGAAUUCUGCUUAUCUUCCACGGAUAGAUGCUACUUCUCCUGUAAUAUUGAAUUGGGUCAUGUGUGUGUCAGCUCUUUGCUUGCCAAAGGAGCUUGUGACUUGCAACUACUACUACUUAUUCAAUGAUCUCUAAUAAUUGAAUCAUUUUGUUCAGAUUCUAAUUAUCAGGUCUUUUCCUCAUCUCUUUAUGUUUUGAGGUGUUGGAUGAGAAAGGGUUAAUGGUGGUUGCUACCAUUCUACAAGAAAUUAGAGAUUGUCAUUAUGAGUGCUGUAGUUGAAGUGGGGUUAAUGUUAAACCAUGAUGGUACCAAGGAGACUUCAUCCAUUUGAAUAUUCUACACUCAAGAAACAGAAAGGUGACAGUUGUCAAAUACAUAUUAUGAACUAGCUGAAAUUAAAAUAUUCUUGUAUUCCUUAGAUUAUUUGUGUCAUGCAAACUCCACUUUAGAAAAUUCCAUUCUAAAUUGCUGUGUGAGAUUAUGUACCAUUCUAAUAUGAUCUCAUGGGGGAAUUAUUUAGCCCAUAGCAACGCACGGGCACGAUCCUAGUGGAAUUGAAAAGAAUAGAGAUCGCGUAUGACAAGAGUACUCUAGGUAAUAUUUCUUCAAAUACCGAUUCAGCUCCCUCAUUUUCACUUCAAUAUUUUCACCAAUGGUAUAGAAAUAGAACUUGAUGAAUUCCACGUCUCAUCGAGCAAAACAUCUCGAAUUGCUAGCAACAUCUUCAAGAAAAGGUGGGCUGUAGGAUGCCUGUUUGCGGAGAAUGCUUUGGUUGCCUCACUUAAAGCAUCACGAAUGUCCUUUACUGCUUUGUUAUUCACACUAGCAUUGUCUAAUGUCAAGGUAAACAGCUGUUCAAUCAACUCCCACUUCAUCAACCACAACUUCUUGUCCUAGAUCCAUAUCACCUAGAUGACACAACUUCUUAGCCUUCGGCCUAGUAUCUUCCAAGUGAACAAAAGAGCCUGGAAUGUGAAUAAGAUCAACAAAUUUGAAUAAAAUACCAACUUGUUUUGGUUUUACUGACUGCUUGUAUUUUUAGUACUACAAUGAGUAGGUUUGAAGAAAAUAUGAUUCUGUAUAUGAUGCAGUUGUUUUGGCUCACAGCUAACUGUAUUUUGUUCCCAUGAUAAAAAAAUUCUGAUCAGAAAUCUUGUUUUUUCACUUCAGAUUAGAAGUAAUGUAAGAUGUCAGAUUAAUGGACGAUGAGGAGCAUAAGUUUUAGGCUUCGAGGACACAGUGCCCCUCCAAUUGCAUACUGAUACUGCUAAAACGAAAGGGGACUGAGGUGACUGGGAUAUCAUCAGUAUCAGAUAUACUAGCAGCUAUGUUCAUGAGCUUCUAUGUGGUGAAACAAGCUGGAGAUGACUAAGGUAUAGGAGCUUUUUUUCACAGAACAGUAGGACCAUUUUCACGAGAUUCAACUGCCUGAUCUUAACUGAAUGGUAAACAUAAGCAAUACCAGUAUGCAACCAACAAAAGAUCUUGCACUCCCAUCUUACAUUCUCUAAAACAGUAACAAUUCUAAGUUCACAGAUCUAGUGGUACUAAAAAGCUCAAUGAACGAAUUUAAUUUGCCAAUGCCAUCCUCCUGCUCUACAAAACCCAAAAACUCAAGCAGAUUGAAGCUGCAAAGGAGAGUUUAAAAAUAGCCAACACUAGCAGAAUACUGCACGAACUAGGCACAGCGCAGUAUAAACAAAAAGACAAAUAGGAAAGGCAAACACAUCAGAUGAAAAUCACCUGCACGCCGACGCCACCUGCGUCCGCUGCUGAGGCCGCCUGCUCUUGCUGGCCGCCGCGCGUCGGCCUAGCCGCACGCCCUGCCGGAGCCCGCCGGGGGCCGGCCCCACGGGAGCGCCUCGCACCCCCGCACCGCCCGGAUCUUGAGUUCUUGCGCCGCCGCCGCCGCCGCACGAGCCUGGAGAGGCCGCGAAAAAGAGGAGAGCCCCUUUCCUGCGAUCCACGGGCUCAGCCCUUCCAAUUGACUCAAGGAUCGAUUAUGGGCCACGUUCACAGGUCAGCCCUUUUAUGGAGAUGGCCCGAUCUGAUCCUGCCCAUUCUUCGGGAAGGCCUUUUAAGGCUCGGCCUAUAUGAGCUUGUAAGGCCCGAUCGGUUUGGCCCUUGGAUUUUCCAGGCUUAAGUAUAGGUAUAAGGUUUUCUACGUAUCUAAAAUAUUUUCCACUAGAAAAGGUUUUCUACGUAUGUAAAAUAUUUCCACUUGACUACCCGAUAAGGCAAUCAUUCGUGUGGCACAUGCCCGGGGCCUACUCGGAAAGUGAGUGCGCAUCCUCUCACAUGAUUGGACACAUCCACUUGACUCCUCAAAGGUCGUCAAUGCUUGCAGCUUGCAUUUUCCACAGAAGCAGCAGCUCUUGAACCCACUGUCCAGCAUCUCCCUCUCCACCCACCAACACUGUGUUUCCCUGUCUACUGCGCGUGUGUUUUGGAGCUCCCGGCGUAGCCAUGGCUGAGGUACUGGCCACCAUGGUGGUCGGGCCACUGGUGUCCAUGGUGAAGGAGAAGGCCUCCAGCUACCUCCUGGACCAGUACCAGGUGAUGGAGGGCAUGGAGGAGCAGCACAAGCUCCUGAAGCGCAAGCUGCCGGCCAUCCUCGAUGUCAUCGCCGAUGCCGAGCAGCAGGCGGCGAAACACAGAGAAGGGGCCAAAGCUUGGCUGGAGGAGGUCCGGACGGUGGCCUACAAGGCGAAUGAUGUCCUCGACGAGUUCAAGUACGAGGCGCUUCGCCGCAAAGCCAAGGUGGAGGGCCACUACAAGGCGCUCGGCAUGGAUGUAAUAAAGCUCUUCCCUUCUCACAACCGUGUUGUGUUCCGUUAUAAGAUGGCAAAAAGGCUCUGCAUGAUCUUGCAAGAAAUUGAUGUCCUCAUCGCAGAGAUGAAUGCGUUCAGGUUCAAAUUCAAACCGCAGCCGCAAAUGCCCAUGCAAUGGAGGCAGACGGAUGCUUGCAUCCCCACUGAGUCUGUGGAGAUUGCCAGCAAAUCAAGAGCUCAAGAGACGAAGGUUCUUGUUGAUCGAUUGCUUGCUGGAGCCAGCAGUAAGGAUCUCAUGGUCCUUCCGAUAGUCGGAAUGGGGGGGUUGGGCAAGACCACCUUAGCACAGCUCGUUUACAAUGACCCUGAAAUUCAGAAGCAUUUCGAGUUGCGGCUCUGGGUGUGUGUCUCUGAGGAUUUUGAUGUGGAUUCCCUGGCUAACAGAAUAGUGAAAGAGAAUGGUUGUAAAGCAAGUGAAAGUUCAUCAGCACUGGACAAUCUUCAAAAGGCAGUGAGUGGGAAGAGGUACCUCCUCGUAUUGGAUGAUGUGUGGAACCGUGAUGAGCCCAGCAAGUGGGAAAGGCUCAAGUCCUACCUUCAGCAUGGUGGCAGCGGUAGCUCAGUGCUGACAACAACUCGCGAUGAAGCUGUUGCUAAACUAAUGAUGGGUACAACUGAAAGAGCCUAUAAACUUGGAAGCUUGGAUGAAGAGUCCAUAGGGAAAAUUAUCAAGGCAAGAGCAUUCGGUUCAAAACAAGAAAAGGAAUGGCCUGGUGAGCUAGUUCACAUGGUUGGUGAAGUUGCCAAGAGAUGUGCUGGUUCUCCUUUAGCUGCUACAGCAUUGGGCUCUUUACUGAGUACCAAGACCAGCAAGCAAGAAUGGAAGGAUGUACUAAAUGGAAGCACGAUUUGUGAUGAGGAAAAUGGGAUUUUACCAGUACUUAAACUAAGUUACAAUUGCUUGCCAUCAUACAUGCGGCAAUGCUUUGCUUUCUGUGCUAUGUUUCCCAAGGAUUAUGAGAUUGACGUGCAAAUGCUAAUCCACUUGUGGAUGACCAAUGGUUUUAUCCCAGAGCAAUCAAAAGUGUGUCCUGAAACUUUUGGAAAAGGAAUUUUCAUUGAGCUGAAGUCAAGGUCAUUUUUUCAGGAUUUGAAGAAUGUCCCAUUUUACGAAAAUGGAUAUUCUAUUCAUGGAGAGGGUGAUGAGCACAGGUAUUGUUCUAGAAUUACUUGUAAGAUCCAUGACCUUAUGCAUGAUGUUGCACAGUCUGCUAUGGGAGAAGAAUGUGCUGCAAUAGCUACACACCCAAGUGAAAGAGAGGAUGUUCUUCGUUCAGCUCGUCACUUGUAUUUGUCAAUCCGUCGAUCAGAAACUCUUCUGAGUGCUUCCCAAGAGAAAGGAUCUCCAGCUUUCCAAACACUGAUUUGUGACGGAUAUGUAGGAGAUUUGAAGAUUUUAUCAAAAUACAAUUCUAUAAGAGCUUUAAAGAUCCGUUGUGGUUCAAUCCUAAGGCCGAAAUAUCUUCAUCACCUGAGGUAUCUUGAUCUCUCGAGAAGUGAUAUUGAAGCACUUCCUGAAGACAUUAGCAUCCUAUAUCAUCUGCAAACACUGAACCUUUCUUACUGUGACUGGCUUGAACGGCUUCCAAAGCAACUGAAGUAUUUGACUGGCCUCCGUCACCUCUACACUCACGGAUGUGAAAAGUUGAAAAGCAUGCCUGCAGAGCUCGGACGCCUGACUUCCCUACAGGCGCUUACAUACUUUGUAGCAGGUACCGAUGACUCCGGUUGCAGUAAUUUGGGAGAGCUGCAGAAUUUGGACCUUGGUGGUACACUGGAGCUAGGAAAUCUAAAAAAUGUGACAGGAGCAGAUGCACAAGCAGCAGGUCUUGGAAACAAGAAAAAACUGACCCAACUGGAGUUAUGUUGGACUGAUAGUGACCAGGAAGCACAGAAUAAUAAUCAUAAAGAGGUGGUGGAAGGUCUCAAACCUCAUGAUGGGUUAAAGGCUCUGAGGAUAAAUCACUACGGGAGCACAACUUUUCCAACGUGGAUGAAUACUUUGAAAGGCAUGGUGGAGCUCACAUUAUUCCGUUGCAAAAAGCUCGAAGAGCUUCCUGCACUCUGGGAGCUAUCAGCUCUGCAAAUUCUUCACCUGAAGGGUUUGGAGAGUUUACAUUGUUUGUGCAGCGGUGGUACUACACCCAUCACAUUUCCAAAACUGAAUGUACUUAUCUUGUUAGAAAUGGCAAAAUUUGAGGCAUGGCGGGAGGCACAUGAGGUACAAGGAGAAGAGCCGAUAUUUCCCAAGGUUGAGGAGCUGGUGAUUAAGGAGUGUACAAGUUUGACUGCAUUACCAAAAGCAGCGUCGGUGAUUACAGAAUUGUCUGGCAGAGUUGACACUAAGUGCCGCUCUGCAUUUCCAGCAUUGAGGAAAAUGAAGCUAUAUAAGUUGACUGUGUUUGAAAGAUGGGAGGCAGGCGAAGGAAUUUCAGGCGAAGAGGUAACCUUUCCUCAGCUUGAGGAGCUGUCAAUCGAGUAUUGUGGCAGCCUGAGUGCACUACCAAAAGGGCCAUUUGGCGGAGCUGAAACUGUGUGUUGCUGCUCCGCAUUUCCAGCACUGAGGAAACUAGAGUUAUCUGGUUUGUUGGCCCUUGAGAGGUGGGGGGCAGCCGAAGGAACUCCAGGAGAAGAGGUAACAUUUCCUCUGCUGGAGAACUUGAGUAUCCAUGAUUGCCCGAGGUUGACUGAUCUACCUGAAGCACCGAAGCUAAGUGAAUUAUCCAUAAGUAAAGGACAUGGUCAACAACAAAUAUCCCUAGAGGCAGCUAGCAGAUGCAUCCCUUCAUUGUCCCGUCUGACUCUGACCGUGUCACCCGAUGACACAGAAACAACAUUGCUGCAUGUCAAGAAUAAAUUGAAUGGUACACUCGCCUUGGCAGCUAUGCGGUUAGGUCGGUGCGACAUUUUUUUCUCCUCCAGCUCAAGCGCACUGGCGCUAUGGACAUGUUUUGCACAGUUAGUAGAUUUGGAUAUUUGGGAUUGCGAUGCUCUUGUCUACUGGCCAGAAAACGUGUUCCAGGUCCUGGUAUGCCUGAGGAAGUUAGCGAUUUCCAGAUGCAGCAAACUGACAGGACGCACACAAGCUUCUGAUGAGCAAUCUGCUCCAGCUCCAGAACGUGGUGGACUCCUGCCAUGCCUGGAGUCUCUAGGGAUAGUAGAUUGUGAAUCUUUGGUAGAGGUCCCCAUCCCGGCAUCUCUCAAGAAAUUACGUAUUUGGGGCUGCAGUAGUAAUGUCGGGUCCAUCGUAUUUGGUCACCCGGAGGAUACGAGAUUGGUGAGUGGAGAAGGUGUUGUACGGCCGAAUACGUCAUCAUUAAUUCCAGGGUCCAGCAGCAGUGAGGCCACAGCGUCUACAGCUGUACUGAAGCUGUCAUCUGCAGCCAACCAUCGCUUCCUUCCAUUUCAAUGCCUAGAAUUUCUAGGUAUAGCGUGUUGCAGUGGCUUGUCAGAGGUUGCCAAUCUUCCUCCGUCUAUCAAGACCUUGCGCAUUUGUGGCUGCGGCAAGUUUCAAUCCCUAUCAGGAGACCUCCGGUUGCUGGAAGAACUCAAGCUUUAUCAUUGCGAAAGACUGGUAUCCUUACCGGAUGGGCCUCAAGCAUACUCAUCUCUUAGAGUUCUUCGGAUUGAAAAUUGUGAUGGUAUAAAGUUGCUUCCGCCAAGCCUACAGAGCCGUUUGGGCUACCUCGAGGAGAAAGAUCUAGAUGCCCGUUACGAAGGUAAUCUCCAGUUUCUUUGUUUCUUUUAACAAAAUGAUCAAGAGCUCAAUUGUUGUUACCUAAAAUGCAACUCUGUGCUUAAACAUUCUGUUAGCUAUUACAAGAUGUGGUAGGAUUUAGUGGUAAGAAGUUUAUGAGUAUUACUCUGUGUUAAACAUUCUGUUAGCUAUCUAGCCAAGCCGUUCAUGAUGUAUACAUUAUAUUGACUAUUGAGUACAAUGCACCACUAAUAUUUAUGUGCAUGUGUGUCAUCGAAAUACAUUAACUUCGUGUAUUAUUGCCAUUCGGGGUAUCUAAACACGUACAACCAGAUCAAGAACCGCAGUCAUCCUUGUAUUUAUAGCUAUAAGAUGAUCUUUGUUGUUCACUUUUGAUACCUUGGUUGUAAACUUGUAAUUGCUAACUCGAAUCAUGUAAUAAAAUCAAUCAUCUUCCUUUAGUUGUAUUUAAAGCAGCAUGGCAUCAUGGAAUUAUUGCAGCCGAAUUCACUAGCUCCAAUUAAAGUGGCACUUGUCCUAGCGUUUCUCUGCAAAUUCACUAGCUCCAUUGCAUACAGUUCAAGUAUGUGUAGUUUUCUUUUCAUGGCUUAUGCCUUUUGACAUAAAUAAUAAUUUUCCUUUCCUUUGAAACAUUUACUAUUGGGUACCACAGCAUAUUCUCCUGUGUAUAUAUAUACUUUCUAACUUUGUGUUGAUUUGCAUGCAUAAAUUCUAACAUCAUCUGUGAUCAUGGCUAUAAGAUGAUCUUUGUUGUUCACUUUUGAUACCUUGGUUGUAAACUUGUAAUUGCUAACUCGAAUCAUGUAAUAAAAUCAAUCAUCUUCCUUUAGUUGUAUUUAAAGCAGCAUGGCAUCAUGGAAUUAUUGCAGCCGAAUUCACUAGCUUCAAUUAAAGUGGCACUUGUCCUAGCGUUCCUCUGGAAAUUCAUGAUCACUAGCUCCGUUGUAUGCAGUUCAAGUAUGUGUAGUUUUCUUUUCAUGGCUUAUGCCUUUUGACAUAAAUAAUAAUUUUCCUUUGAAACAUUUACUAUUGGGUGCCACAGCAUAUUCUCCUGUGUAUAUAUAUACUUUCUAACUUUGUGUUGAUUUGCAUGCAUAAAUUCUAACAUCAUGGCCUGAUUGCCAGAAUUGCCAGAACCAACCUGGAAACGUUCAAUCAGGAAGCUGGUGUGCUCGAAAUAGUAGAUCAAGGCCUGACCAAAGAAAAUUAUCUCCAAGGUAUUUUUGCAAAGAUAUCACCAAGGUUUGUAAUAUUAGUGUUCUUGAUGAUUGAUUGGAAAUGAUGCUAGCUCCUAAUGCUGACUUCCUAUGCGCUGUGACUUCCUUGUAGGAUGGUGCCAGACCUGCAAAAGAUGGAUUAUUGUGACUCUUGUUUAGAAUGUAUCAUAUGGGCAUUCUGAAGAUAUUCUCCAGUAAAGUCAAGGCAAAGUUCUAGAUUUUGAGCAGAAAACAAGUCCUAGAUUGCAAGCUGAAGAAUUUAGCACACAGAGCUGCGUGCUCCAGUCUUUUAUCCUUCUUCAAACCGAAGACCUUUAUUUUGAGCAGAAACGAAGUCCCAGACUGCAAGCAGAAGAAUUUAGCAUACAGAGCUGCGGGCUCCAGUCUUUUAUCCUUUUUUUUUUCUUUUGAGCCAUGACUUGUUUGCAUUCGUGUCUGCUUCAGCCUCCAGCACAAGCGAAACACAGGCAGCACUUUCAUUUUAUGAUUUGUCUAUCCACAUACAUGACCGACUGCCAUAGAGUAGACCAACAGUCCAACGUACUCAUGUUGUUGCUCGACAAGCUGUCCAAGCUGCUGCUUGAUAUGAACUGAAAGUGCUGAACUUUGUCCAUGUUAUGUUGGUAGUAUAUCUAAUACUGAACUUCAGAGUAGAACAACAGUCCAACGUGCUCAUGUUGUUGCUCGACAAGCAGUCCAAGCUGCUGCUUGAUAUGAACUGAAAGUGCUGAAUUUUCUCCCGUGUAUGUUCUGUGUUACUGUGUAUCAAAUACUGAAUGGUGUGCAGGGUGAUCCUGCAUCCUGGAAUGGCACGGUCUUGUGCAGAGGUCUCAUUGUUGUUGACCUGUUUCUUCAAAACUGCAUGUGCAGCAACAUUUUCUCCUGGCAGUGCUGCAAUGGAAUUGAAAAGAAUGGUGAUUGUUAUAGUAUAAUUGUCAUAUAUAGGCUGGGACACAAAACAAUGGAUGUACAUGAGCAAGGAAGAAGCUCUGGAUGCAGGGGAUGGAACAGAACAGAGACACGGACUCUGUCAACAGCGAUGCUCCCCAAGCGAGCAGAGGCAGAGCAGCGAAGCCCGCCUCGCAAUCUCCGCUACCCCCAUCGAAGUUGCCACACGCCACCGCAUCUCCCUCCACUCCGCUCCCACUCCCCCGCCACCGCCAUGGCCGCCGCCGCCGCAGCGCCCUCCCUCCUGCACCCACCGGCGGCCCGCAAGGCCCCCACACCUUCUCCCUCUCCUUACCCUUCCCCAUUCCUCCGCCUCCCGGCCCCCGCGCACCCGCGCCUCCCGCUCCGCCUCCGCUCCACCUCCCCGGCCGCCGCCUCCGACCUCACCGACUUCCCCAACCCGAACGGCAUCCUCGCGCCCAUCGACGUGGACGCCGCCACGGAGGCGGAGCUUCGCGAGAACGGGUUCCGGAGCACGCGCCGCACCAAGCUCGUCUGCACCGUGGGCCCGGUCACCUCGUCGCCCGAGCAGCUCGAGGCGCUCGCCGUCGGCGGGAUGAACGUCGCCCGCCUAAACAUGUGCCACGGGGACCGGGAGUGGCACCGGGGCGCCAUCCGGGCAGUCAGGAGGCUAAACGAGGAGAAGGGCUACGCCGUCGCCGUCAUGAUGGACACCGAGGGCAGCGAGAUCCACAUGGGGGACCUCGGCGGCGCCUCAUCGGCCAAGGCGGAGGUGAGGUGCUGUGCUUGUAUGUAAGCUGCUGUCCAGUUUUGGACUUGGCGUUGCAGUUUUCAGUUUUCAGAUUGAACGUAUUCCGUGAAAUGUGCUUGUGCAAUGUGGCAAUGUGGAUGAGAGGGGUGGUGGCAGUGGCAGUGUCAGGCAUUGCCGUUUCAUACUUCUGCAAAACCUAGCGAGUCAGGAUUUCACCAAAAUGUUUUUUUUCCAUCUUCGAAAUGGCUCAGUUGAUUUAGAUUUUCAGCUCAUGUUUGAAAUUGUUAUAGAAGGAAAAACAUUCAGAAUUUCAGAUUGUCAUCAAACACUGGAUUGUGAAAGUGGUAAUCAUUUUCAAGGCUUUCAAUCUUUCAAAAAAAUUUCAAGGCUUUCAGUAUCAGUGCAACUCAAAUAAAGUGCAUGGUAAACAUCACCAUGUUUUGGCUUUCUCUGCAUAUAAGACACGGUGCUGGAGUGGUUCGACGGCGCUGAGGUCCCAAUCCAACCAGUCAGGUUUUUUCAAGGUGUCGAGUUUGAGUGCUUACCUGCGUUGGCCCCAUUCCAACCGGGCGAGUCUUUAUUUAUUUUUCGUUUCUUUUCUUUUUUUGCCUAUGGCCUCCCAGGACCGUAGUCUUGUAUUUUCUAUUAUAUCAAUAGAAACUCGCACUAUCUUGUGCGGUUCGUUCAAAAAAAAGUGAUAGGCAUUGAGCUUCUGAAGGUCGUUGUCUAGAUAUUAGGCCCAAGCCUCAAUGGCUUUUUUUUCCCUGUUGCAAACCUUCCUGUAAGUAAAGGGCACACCAGUGCGAAAGCUCCCACACAAGGUGGGGUCUGGGGAAGGGAAUUCCUAGAUAGCCUUACCCUUGCAAAAUUCUUUUAAAUUUUUGCAAAGAGGUUGGUUCGAACCCAGGACCUCCGGGCCACAAGUGGAGAGUUUUACCACUGUGCCAGGUCCGCCCUUCUAGCAGAAUCUCUUAUGCUAGGUUUAAUUUGAAUUAGCUUUAUUAGUAGAAUGCUUGGCCCAUUUAUUGGUAAAUGGUAAAAUUCAUAAAGAUUAUCCUCAUUCCCUUAAUCAAUUUUAGGUGUUUAACUUGCAGCAAAUUCGAACAAUGACAGACAUGCAGCAUAUUGUUAGUUCAUCUGUAAGACUUGGCUUGCUGGUUUAAUGCUUUGUUAAAGGUUUGAAGUUAAUGUGUCUACUGGUAGCUAUUGAAUCUCUUUAUAGUUUAUUUAUAUCUUUUUUCUUUAUUAGUAUAAAGCCAUGUAGAAGUUUUCAGAAUACUGAAAUUUCUAGUGUUCGUUUUGUGGAGUCUCUGCACCUACAUCCUUUUUUGCAACUGCAUUUCAGAUCCUUCAGUUAUAGCAUGAAUAAUUUUUUAAAAAAGAAAAUUCUAGGUAGAUUCUUGCCCGUAGUUAAUGGUAGUGUCCGAUGAUAGUUGUGUUUUAGAUAAUACAUUAAUAUUAGUAAUCCAAAGAAACUAAACUACUUCCAUGAUGCUAAAUGUCAUCAGUGCUAGCUAGGGUCACUAUACCAAAAAGGAGAUUCUAUCACCAUUCGGCUGUUUAUCUUAAGUUUUUAACCAUACAGUUAGAAGUUUGAUUGUACACCUAUUCAAUAAUCCAAGGUUUUCUUGAGCCACGUUAUUUACCCAAUGACUUCCAUUUUUCUUGGCAUUAAAACCUUUCUGAAGUAAUUAACAAAUCAUGUCACAUUUGUUGGAUUCCACAGGAUGGAGAAGUCUGGACAUUUAGUGUUAGGUCAUUUGAAUUGCCUCUCCCAGAACGAACUAUUAAUGUGAAUUAUGACGGGUUUGCUGAAGGUAUGUAAGCUGACCUAUUUGUUGAUAUCUUUUGCUGUUAUUGUUCACUGCCAUAAUUUUGUCCUACACAGAUGUGAGAGUUGGUGAUGAGCUUCUUGUGGAUGGUGGAAUGGCUCGGUUUGAGGUGAUUGAGAAGUUGGGACCAGAUGUUAAGUGUCGCUGCACAGAUCCUGGUUUAUUGUUGCCACGUGUGAAUCUUACAUUCUGGCGUGAUGGCAGUAUUGUCCGUGAGAGGAAUGCUAUGCUUCCUACAAUUUCAUCAAAGGUAAAUGCACUAGCAUAAUAAAUUUCUUGCUGUAAUUACCAAAAGACCGCAAAACUUUGUUAAUCUAUGCCACCCCUUGGUACUAGUAUUGCAAUGGAUUUACAGCUUGGUUUUUUUUGUCAAUGCCAUGGUCAGUUCAAAACAACAUGUAUUAGUUCAAAGCCUUACAUUGUGCACUGAAACUCAUCUCUUGAUAGUUUUUAUCAGCUAUUUCUUAAGAAGGCUUCUACCACCUAGAGUUGUUUAACUGAAAAUUUAAUCUUCUAGUAGCAGAUACUAAUAUUAUAAGUUUAUAAUAAUGCUGCUCCUACCCCCGACGCAGCUUGCCGGAGGCCCUUGACGCAGCGCUGCCAUCCGCAAGCCCUAACGCCGCCGACGCGCCCCUCUCCUCGGUUGAUUUGGGAAGGCGCGGGACUGAGGCAGGGAGAUUGGGAAGCAGAGCUUCCUGUUCCUCGUCUGCUACUCUGCUUCAAUUGGGCACCGGGAAAAGCGAUGCUGCCGGGUGCUCGGGUUCUUGGAGAGGGGAUGGAAUGGAAUGAUGGAUCGAUGCGGGAUGCGUUGCUGUUGCUAGCGGCUUCUGAUUGGAGAGAGGAGAGAAGCUGGUUGCUUGUGUUACCGUGAACGUGAAGGAAAACAGAGUAGGGAGGAGAGCAAGCUGCUGGUGCAGGAGCAUCAUGGCUACGGCAAUGGCAGCGGUGCGGUUCGUUCCGUCAAAUCCCAGAUUUCGGCCACAUUUGAUUGAUGCGAUUUAAUUUGAUUCCUUAUUGGUCGCCAGCCACGCAUUCGAUUCAUGGACGCGCAGGCCCCGGUGGUGAUGCAAGCCACGGUGGUUCCUGCAUGACAAUAGGUUCUUGUUACAAGACAGUCAUCAGUCAUAUUGUGAAGAACUGAUGGCAGUUUUGAACACAAAUAUAGGAUUUCAUCACGAUACACUAGAGGUUUACAAUCAUCAACUACUGCAGGGGAAAAAAAUGGAGCUAGUAUUUUUGAAAAAUGGCCCGAUGUUGAAUCUGUGAUAAUGCAACUUAUGUAGCAGAGCAACCAUGGUAACACAAAAAUGUGCCAAGAGACUGACCUGAUCUUCUUCAGCCUCUCUCCAGGUCAUCCCCGAGCUUCAUGUCAAGAGCGUUGGAAACAACCUGGGAGAACCUACAUCCUUGUAAUCCUUCUUCAUGAUGAGGAAUCAGUCAGGGACCAUGAACUGGCGAGGGUUAGGAACCACAUUCUUGAGGCGCUCAAGCUCAUCUGGGGACACCUCACGAGCUCUGCACAAAAAUAUUAUCAUCAGAGCUAAACUUCAUGCAAUGGGGCAUUCUAGCUGUAGCAUACAACAACCUACUGGCCCAGUUUGUUAUUGCGGCACAUGGAAAAUUAGUGGGAAAGUGGUGCGAUGCACCCAUCUCAAAUCUCCAACUUCAAAAAACAUGAAUGCCAAAGACUUCUGCAUAGGCUGUCUUUAGAUGGCAGAUGUUUUUUAAAACACGUUUUCCAAUGGGCUUCACUCUCAAGUAGAUUCAGAAAAGCUAAUUGAUGAUCGGCACCAAGCCACAGAUGACUGCCACUAAUGAACAGUCAGUAGAUAAUUUCUGCAUUGUUGCCUAGAUUUCACCUGAGGAAAACCAAACUGAUUGAACAUCUCGCCACAAUUUCUUAGAUUAACUGAGCCCAUCACCUACGGGAAUGGAAGGAAAAAAAACCGAAAACUGUUACCAACAUUACAAUUUGUCAAAUAAUCUUCAUAUUCGAAUUCCCUAUACAAAAAUACCGCUUUGCCAGACUGGACCAGAAAGCAAACCAAACCUAAAUUCAGUAUAUUUAUACAUGUUGAAUCAUCUCUUGGUCACGUUUUCUUCAUUGAAAAGAAGUAAUGAGAAGAAACAUUCUUCAAAAAUUACUGAUCAAAACCAUAUUUUUAGUGUGCUACGAUUCUACAGCGACUUCAGUACAAUGGAAGCAUUGGUGCUACAACGAGCUUCUGAUAAAGUUAGGAGUGAUUUUAAUCCACUUUUCAACUUGGAAACCAAGUUGAAAACAAGUCUUCCUUUUUGUUAAUGUGUUGCCGUGAGAACAUAGAGUAUGAGCAGUUCAAACCGGUUACCUAAAUUAUGCUUGUGAUCCGUGCACUGUGAUGGUCAAACUUCUCCUUGUUAAAUGGCAAGCUGCUGUUGCCUUGGAUCCUAAGGUCGUGCUGUGAAUGGUAUUGUAACUGUUAAGGUAAAUCCUGUUCUCCAUUUGUGGCCAUGCAUGAGAAUUGAGAACUGGAGAUCAUUCUGAAUUUUUGCUCCUUACAGAUUGCUUUGUGUAUCCCUUGUGCGCCAAAUGGGACUGAAAUUCGUGGCGUGAUACGUCAUCGUGACCUUUUGAAUUUUAGUUGGCUUUGUUUUUGUUUUCGAGGAUUUAACUGUUGUGCCUCCGUCUUCCAUGUGGCGAAGAAAUUGACGCAGUGGGGUCGGGAUGGUGUUCAGCUGCUGUUUGCUGGUAGACUGUUUAUUUUGUUUGGGAGUAUAAAGGGGUGGAUCAUCCAUCAUAUCUAAGCAAUAUGAUUAGUGCAAAUCAUGAUGGUCAACGUCAGGUUUCGUUUUGGGCAACCAACCACAGGGUUUCUUUGAUGGUUUCGUAUUCAUUGUAAUCGCUGUCGUUGCUUGCUUCUUGCUGCCCACAUUCCUAUUCUCCCGUCGGCUCGACGGAGGAUUUUAUUUUAAGAAUGCAGAGAAAGAAACAUGCCUCCGUUUUCCAAGCAAAGCAUAUAUUCUUUCUGGAAGGUCAACGACAAGGCCCCGGCCGUUCCAAGCUUCUCGCUGGCCUAGCCGUCGCGUCCAUUCAAGCUCAGAGGCGACUGCCGUUCCGAGCUCUCCAAGGGCCCGCGCGAUGGGAAGCGGCGCGGUUCUUGACGGUGGUGUUGUUCCUCGCCGCGGGGGUCCUCUUCGCGCCCGAAUCGCUGGCGCCUCGGCGGCCACCGCAUGGGGCACCGGCCUCUGGGUCGCAUUCAUCGGCGGCACCAUCCUGUUCAGGUAAGCAAGCGCCGCCGCUGCCGCUUCGUCCGCCCCAAGAUCAGAUGGUUGGAAACAAGCGAGAGAUGGAUUCUGUCAUGUUUACUAAUAUACCAUUAUACCCAAGCCUAAAUGUGAUAUGCUGCUGCUGUCAUAGCAUUCACAUUCAAAUCCAAUUUCGUGCGCAGCAAUGCACGGCGCCCAUCCUAGGAAGAACUCUGAGGAAAAUGACAAGCCUCAUGAAUCUGUCCUUGGAAUCAUGCGAGUUUUAGUAAAUCAUUGGAAUCCACUGGAUCAUCAUCUUAAUCUGGCAACCAUUGGUCCGGAAAAAUCAUUCUAGUAAAUAUUCACCUUGACGAUCUGUUGGAAGGACAAGGACCACAAAAAUUAUGAAUUGGGAUUUAUGUGCUGUAUUGAGAGAGCCCGUAGGUGCUGGAUUUCUCUGGAAACGUUCUGAAAGUUCUGGUAGUGGUAGCACUGCUACAAUUUUACAAGCAUGUGGGGUUGUUCCUCUGUUUGUUGAUUAGGUAUUAUGUUUUGCAGUCUUAAAGUUCAGAAGGUAAUUACCCAGGUGUGCAAGUAUACCUUCAAGUUUUUUUUUAACAUAGUGUACAUAUUACCUUGUUAUAGUGAGAACAGAGAAGUCCACCGCAAAAGUAUAGCCUAGCAUAUAUUGUUCUUGCAAUAGACCAUGUGUGGAUAUGCCCCUUUGCAGGUCGAUUAUUCCAUUCAGAACAUAGCAUGGACCUCUAUAGUGUUUUGGAUAGAUUUUUUUUUAUUAUAAAGGUACUUGCCGAGGCACCAAUUUGGGAGUCUGCGGGGUAAAAUGUUCCCGGCGUAGUUCAUAUUGACAUCAGUGUGUUCAGCGAUAUCUGUGGCAGCAUUCGUAUACCUGCACCCCUGGAAGACAGCAUCAACCAUCGAGCGUUACCAGCAUGGAUUCCUUCUUUCGGCCCUUAUCUGUAACCUUUCAAACCUUCUGGUCAUCACACCCGAUCCUUACCUGCGCUGCCGCCGCACCGCCACCUCUCCCUCCCUGCGUCGCCGCCGCGCCGCCACCACUCCCUCCCUGCGUCACCGCCGGGACCCCGACGACCCCUCCCACCACUCCCUGCAACUGAAGAGGUAAUCCGACAGCGCCCCCUCCGGGCGCCGCCACGCCGACCCGCCUCCGGGUGCCCAAUUGAUACGCCCGGACCGCUCCUCCUCCGUCCGCUGCCCAACCGUGCCUCCUCCGGGCGCCCAACGCCGGCGCACCCCCUGUCCGGUUGCCCCUCCGCGCCAGCGCCCCCCUUCCCGGCCUUCUCUCCACCCCUCCCCCGGCCUCCCCUCCACGCCGGCGCGCUGGUAGACGGACGCCUCUGGCUACUUCUGUGCCGGCCGCGCCGCCGCCAAGCUCGCCCCUACGAAAACGGUAACCUCUUCCGCCCAUCUGCACAUCUCCAUGACAAUCCGUUUUUAUGCAUCCUUAUUGAGGCGGAUCUGGUGGUUCGAUUGCAUAGAGGAGGAUAAUGAUUAGUGGAUUUGCUUGAUUGGCAACAUAGUCCAUCAUUUAUUCUCCUGUUCUCCAUUAUCAGUAUUGUGAAAUUGCUUGACAGAUGGCUGGUCACUUGUUUUUUUUUAGUGAUUCCAAUGGUAAUCAUAUCAUACCAGACCUAGAUAGAAUAUAAUAUGAGAUGAUGUUGCAGACUGAGUCAUCUGAUUCUUGCAGUCUAAUUCUAGGAGUUUUAGGCAGUGGCAUGUGAAUAUUAUCAAUACUUCUGCUUCAGUUAACAUAUGCAACUUAUGGGCACUCACAUAGCAGGUUAUUUUUCUGUUGUUUUAACUAACAUGGCAUGACGUGAUGUUUUUGACUGUUUAACUAAUAGAAUCUUUAAGCUUUGAUUGGUACACUCAAACUUCAUUAUUGAGAUUGGUCGACUGUCAGUAUUGUGAAAUUGCUCAACAGAUGGGAUAUUGCUUGCAUUAAAAGAUUAGCUUCAGGAUAUUGCUUCGAUUGUAGAGGAUGAUAAAAGUAUUGAUUUUUCUUUCCUUGUUUUUUAGUCAUUCGUGCUUACUCUCUAGCAAUGGUUAAUUACAACACUGCAGGACUACUAGCUAGCGUAUUUAUCUAGGUUCUGAUAUAAAGCAUAUAACAUUGGAUCUGGGAUAAUAUGUUGGCUAUUUUGUGGCUGGCCCGGAAGCCCAGUGGUUGCUUUGCUUUGCUACCUGCUUUUGCAACUCUCUUCUUUUCUGAGCUCAUUCUUACACUUUAGCCUGCAGUCGAGUAUGUGUGUUAGCUAUUGAGCUGUUUUGCUUUGCUUAAUCAAAUGCUAUAUUACACCAUGUUUUCAAAUUUGUUCCCAUAGUUAUUUAGCUUAACCUCUAUCUCUGAAAUCAGGUACUUGAUAGGAUGAACUGUAGGGGUCUGAGGUCUUUUUUUAAUGAAGCAACAGGGGAGGACCCUACUGACAAAUUUCAGAGGAUAUAUAUCUGUACAGGUUGCAUGGCCAUGUAGUUCCAAAAGAAAAAAAAGGAGGAGAUUUAGAUCCCUCUCCACGAAAUAUUUUCAUGGUUGUCCAUAAAUAUUUGUUUUCUGUGCAUUAAGCUUUUCUGUUGUGCUAAUCUGAUUCAAGGAACCCAGAAUUGCAACUAUCUUAAAUUUUCUUUUUAUAUUCCAUUUUAUAUCAAUUCCAGGUACAUGCAUGAUUGGUAUGGCCAGGUUGAAUGCAAAUAUGUGGCAACACUGAAGUAGAACAAUCAUUAUGAAGCAUGUCAAGUAAGCAUGUUCUAACUUUUGGAAUGUAGCUUCAUGAAUUUGAUUCUUUGAUAUACUAUACAAGGUUGUAUUUGUUUGAUCUGUCACUUAAUUUGACAUUGGAGUUGUCCGGCCAACAAAUCCACAUGUGCCUCCGCCACAUGGACGCCCCCAAGGCCCGUACGUGAUCCCCAGGUCCCUUCCCUUCUGUUUGGUUGCAAACACUGACAGAGAACCAUUUGCAACUGAGCUCAUGACUAACUUAAUGUACCGUUGCUGCUUGCAGGUCACAGCUCAGAUGAGGCAAAGCGGAUAGCUUGAUUACUGGAUGCAGGAUUAGCAUCCACCAUGAGCCUGUGCACCUGGUCCAUCGUAAUUCUUUGAAUUUACUCUAUUGAAUGCAGGGUGUUCCUGAAAUUGCAAGAAUUAUGGCACCAGAUUGGUCGUCGAUGGACAGAAGGCAAUGCUGUGCUGCCAAUUAAGUUGCCUGGUGAUGUUUCUAACAUGCAUUCUGUACUAUCUGACAUUUUAGAUUUCAGGCUGCUAUCGUAUCUGGUUUGUGACUGUAUUUUCUACCAAUCAAGUUGCCAUCAAACUUAAAUAUUGAAGCCUCUGGUGGAUAUGAUGAUGAAUUGACUGUAGACUGUUGGCCCUUGGGCAUUGCAAAGAGAAGGAAAUAUCUGUUAAGAUAGCCAAAACCAUCAAGUUAGUCCAGAUCAUGCGCUACAAAAUUUCACUUCUUUUAUGAACUGCUGUAGUGUGUAAUAUAAAUAAUGCCAUCAAGUUAAUAUGUAUGUGCAAAAAAUCCCCUGACAGGAAAUUAUUAGGAAUUUAUAUUAGAAACAGGAAACAUGAAUGCUGAAGCAUGUUAGAACUGACAAAACACAAUCAGACAUAGGCAGGUUCUUGGGACUGCAUGAAGAGAGACUCAGAUUCCUAAGGAUUGUUCAAGUGCAUUCGAUGUGAUUUGCCGACGAAUGGAACAGAGGAUGGCCUAUGGCCAGAAUGAGCAGGUGAGGCUCCAUACUAUCUUACCGUAUGUCUUCCUCAUGUCUCAUGUGUUGCAUUGCAUGUAACUGUUAAAGUAUCUGUGCUACAGAUCUCACUUUAUUAAAUCAUGUGAGAUUAAACUUACAUUUAUAUUGUCAUUAAUAGAAAUCAACAGAAAAGAGGUACUGAUUGGAUUACUAAUUCAUUAUUUGUAGUUGCCUUAGUCAAGAAUAUAAAUUUGUCAGGGACAACUCAAAUACAGAAACACACUCAUGAUCCUUUGUAGUUUGCAGUAGAUUGCGAGUUUAAUGGUAAAUCUGGACUUGAACUUCUUUUCAGACUCUGUUCUACCACCGAAUUUCAUACUGCAUUACUUCAUGCUCGAAAAAUGGAUGAAAUCAAAUCGAUAGCCUUCCUCGGUUAACCAUUGCAGAGACACCGCUCUUGUAAUUCAGGACAUGGUACUGCUGCACGAAGUGGAGGUGGAAUACCCGGACGGUCGACCCAUCGAAAAGCACCAAGCGAUGCUACUGGAGUUCGGAAAGUUUGAAAAUGGCCAAUCCACCACUGCCAUGUCCCUCACCGUUGGUGUAGCAGCAGAAAUAGGGGCUCUGGUAGUAACCUUAACCACAGUUAUACUUGCAUGAGGAUAAAAGCAGAAACCCCAUGUAUAUUCAUUUACUCUUGCCCCAUGCCAUGUUGCAGCUCUUGCUCCAGAACAAGGUGCAGACGAAAGGAGUGAUUAGGCCUCUGGAACCUGAAAUCUACAUUCCAGGUGAGUGCAACGUGGACCAUGGUUUUCAUGCCUGUCCUUUGUGGAAUCACCGUGACAUGCAACAGUGCUGACUCGUGUGUUUGCGUGUGUGAAGCAUUGGAAAUCUUGGACUCGUCAGGCAUAAAGCUGACUGAGAGAGUGGAGAUUUGAAAAUUCGUGUGUACUCCCUCCGUCCCUGUCGUUUUCGCUUCCUGAGAAACAACUUUGACUAAAUAUAUAUAAAAAAUAUUAAUAUUUAUGAUACAAAAUUAAUACAAUUAGAUAGAUAUUUGAAUCUAGUUUUUUAAUAAAUUUAUUUGAAGAUACAAAUGGUGCACGUAUUUUCUACAAAUCCAGUCAAACUUGCGGCACGGAAACCAAAAGCGACAGUUAUUUAGGGACGGAGGGAGUAAGCAUUGGAGAUCUUGGAGUCGUCAGCCACCAAGCUGACUGAGAGAAUGUAGAUUUGAAAAUUCGAAGUUAAUAGUACAUAGAUAUACUAUAUGAUAAUAGCUGGGUACAUAUAUUCUGUACAUACUAUGUUCUGUCCUAAGAAAGGGUAGGAACUCCCAACAGUUUGUCGUCGUCGUUGUACAUAGAAUCUCAUAAUGUAUAACUUUCAAAGCUCUAAAAACAACAGGUCUUGUGUGCAACGAUGAUAGUCGGAUUAGUUAUACACCAUGUACUUUAGUGUGGCACUAAAUUAUGAAUAGGUUCUCUAUACUUAAAGCUUCUUAGACUAUGAUGUUCGUCAGCUCACUGGUGAUUGGAAAGGCGUCUUUAGAAAUUGCUACGCAAAACGAUUGGGAGUAUAGGGCAACCCUGCUUGCUUAUUCAAAUUGAUGUACCUAAGGGUGUAAAAUGUGAAGAUAUAUGGAAGUCUUGAUUGUGGAGAAAAAUUGUCAAUCAAAAUAGCAUCUUAUUUAUGAGGUGGGGCCUGAUUCGACUCAUGUCGAGCCCUCUCCUUUGCACCAACGAACAGAUCCAAUCGUUUAAAAUCAGGUCCAAGUUCACAUCUCUUUUGCCCUCCCACUCAGAGCACAAUCGGCCAGCGCGACGGGGAUGGCGACACAGCCACCGACGGCUGGAGCUCCCUCAAUGCUGCCAGCAGGUAAUUGACUAGCCUAUUACUAUUUGGAUGUGAUGCACAUUGGUCACGAAUUUGUAAAUCUAUCAGUUCCUGCUUCCUGCAUCCAUUUGUGCAGUUCUUGCGGUGGAUGCAGUGCACUGAGUAUAGAAAUUAUUUUUUAUUACUUCUGUGAAACGUUUUGGCCUUGGCAAGUAUGUACAGAUUUAGUUGUUGUUUUUUUAGUCAGAGGUGAGCUACGUGUAUGGGAAAGAAACACUUGAUUGCUUGUUCUAGAUCUUGCCUUCAUAUAAACUGUGAUGCUAUCAACAUGGAGAUUUGAUGCAUUCUACUCUCUCUCUAUUUCACAUGGAAAAGAACUCGUGUUUACUCAAUAAUGCUUAUGAAUUUUCCUUAGAGUUGCAUUUAUUCAUCAUCCUAAAGUAUUCCGUGUCAAGUAAACUCAUACUUCUAAUUUUUCAAAAAACAAUCUGAAAUCAAUGAACCCCUCCUUCCUUGUGAAAUUGUUGUACCUUUUUCCUUAUGACAUCUUAUCUACUUCCACUUUCCUGGUGCAGAAUUUUUGAAAGUAGGAAACGUAAGCAAUGACAGUGAGAGUCGCAGCAAUACUGAGCUCAAUAGGUGAACUAGACAAACCAUUCUGCUGUAGUUCAUUUUAUCACUGCAGUCAUCGUCGGACAAUGAGGUCAGAACCAGCAGGUUCGCAGAGUGACUUGUGACUUGUGGAUAAUCCUGCAGAUUCAACAAUGGUAAAGUAACGAAUGGUUAAGGUAUAAGUAGAUUUACUCAAUUAUACUCCAAUAGCUAAUGCAUUGCAUAUAUUGCUUGGCCGUGUAUAUAAAUAUUACAUCACUGUUCAACAUAAGUAAAUAGCUUGGUCCUUCAUAAUAAAGCAGUCCAUUUUGGUAAAAGCUAUAGUGCAAUUAGUUUUCUUGAUUUUCUUAAAAUUUUACUCAAAGUCUGUUCCUUAUGUUGUACAUUUGCCUCGCGGGCUGGCUAACUGACCUACAUGAGGCUGGCUAACUGAUCUGGAGGUUCACUAUCUAUGUUCUUUCAUUUCAUUGUCAAACAGAGAUAUUCUAAAUCUGAAAGUCUGUUGAAAUUGCCUAUGGAGUCUUGUGGUACCUUUAGUGUUUCUUAUCAUGUCCAGUAGGAGGUCUUGGAAAACAUAUUUGCCAUACAUGAUUUUUUUUAAAUCGAAAGUAGUAAUAUGCUGUGUAAUUGCCUUCUUGCCUCCUGACGUGUGGCAAAUUCAUUGAGCGUUUCCACUUACAUCGCUGGCAUAUUCAGAAAACAACGCAAAGAUGAUGGUUUUGGGUGAGAGGUCCUUUGGUCAAGGUAAUUUCAGAGCAUUGAUUUUCAAUGUACUUGUAAAGCCAAGAGAAAGUUGAGCAGGGCACAUUCAGUUGUUAACUGGACUGUUGGCUUGCUGCUAUGGAAACAUGUUUUCAGCCUUAUUACUUGCCGAGUUUACAUUGGGAUCUGAAAACUGGACAGCGUGCCAUUAGUUUUGUCUGUCUCCAGGACAUUGCCCAUGCACAUGAACUGACUGAUUACCAUGAAAAUUCACCUGUUUCAGUUCCAAACUAAUUAUUGCUUCAAGGUCACAAAGCUAUAUGAAAAUCUGUAUCCAAUUGAAUGCCAGAACUCUCUAGGAUGAUGUCAGGCAUUCCCAUUUAUAGGUUAACCUGAAGUGAUUCUUGAAGAUUAGUUUCUGUGUGGUUGAUUUGAACUGUUUGUCAUAUUGUAUGCUUCAUCUUGAUUACUAUCAAUUUCACAGGUCAUGUUCAUUGUGAGGAAUGGAGCGCAAUGCCUUGUGGUAACUCUGGGCAGACGAAAAUAGGCCACCUCUCCCAUUUUCUUGAUAUUUAUUUUCUGAUAUCUGACUAUUGUAUUUGUCGUGAAAUUUAAAUUGUAGACACUAACAGAUCAUGUGUCACUUCAUGCUUUGACCAUGUGAAAAAAAUUCAGUGUAUUUACCCAUGAUCGGUGCCUUGCCCCGAGUGGUCUUUAAUUCCUGAAUUAGGCAACGGUGAUUUUUCUUCUUAAUAUAUAGAUGCGCAGCUCUCCCGCGUGUUCGAGAAAAAUGAGGCAACGGUGACACAGCGCUCGUAGAAAGUAGAAAGUGAAGAAGCGGUUUGAGCAUAUUGCUGUUGACAGCUACCUCCGCAAGAUUUGGCCAGUAUCGUGAGCUGAGUUUCACAACCCUGAACCACUUGGUAAAAAACAGUCUGAAUUUUGCGUUGUGAGUAACUAACUAGACAUCCGAAUAAAUUAGUGUACUGAUAUUCUGAAAUUUGUUUUAGCACUGGGACUCUCUGGACUAUCCGGUGGAAUCAGGCCUUGGCAGGACUGAGGCAGAUGUGGGGGGUGACACCGUGCAGGUGAGGUGGUGGCGGUACCUGGCUCUGGCAUCUCCCUUUAUCCGCUUGAUGGAAUGGCAGCAUGGGUAUGGAGACACCAUCAGCAUCUAAACAAGGCCCAAAAGGUACAAAGAUAUGAUUUAAUCACUUUUGAUUUGUUUAUUUGCUAUCAUAUAAAUUGCAGGUCUUGAGUAAUAUGUCAAUGCUAUAAUUUUGCUUGCUUGUUGUGUGUCCUCUCUAAAAUCUUUUCUUUACCAUAUAUAUCCAUACGCACAAGAUAUUUGCAGUUACAAGUAUAAUCCUCAAGGAGUGAAAAGCUUGGGAUUCUGUUCGUGCAGGCAACAGGCAUUGAUUGCUAAUCAGCAUGGCCUCCACAAGUACCCAUCAUAGGAAGUGCAGCAACCAAUAUUGUGUUCAAACCUGAAGAAAAUAUAUGGGGAUGGCUGGGUGGCUGCACAGCUCAUGGCAGGGACCAAUUUGGAGUCUGCAUCUUCUUUCCCACAUAUAUAUGAUAUUUCCAUAUACUGUCAGGAUGCUAUUAAACUGCCUUCACCAGAUUACUAUAAACUGUGAACUUCGGAACUUUAAUUUUCGAUAAGUUGGAGUCGACGCUUAAAACUUCAGAGCUUUAUUUACUCCUAAGUACCAACAGCUCUAAAUUUUUGUGCACUGCACCCUUAGUUUUUAGUGAACAAUACUGACUGCUGAGGUUAUAAUGCAUCUUUCUAUGUGGGACUAAAGUUUUGUCAAGUAAGGCUAUGUACACAUUGAUAAAUCUGCUUCAGAAUAAUAUCGCUGAUACAUUGCAAUCUCACUAUCUGAACAAAAUCAGGUUUAUCAGUUAUUUAUAGUAGACUUGCUUGUUAGAAAGGACCUAAAUAGGUUUUCUUUGUCUAUGUGAAUUUUCGGGGAAUUCUGCUUAUCUUCCAUGGAUAGAUGCUACUUCUCCUGUAAUAUCGAAUUGGGUCAUGUGUGUGUCAGCUCUUUGCUAGCCAAAGGAGCUUGUGACUUGCAACUACUACUGCUUAUUCAAUGAUCUCUAAUAACUGAAUCAUUUUGUUCAGAUUCUAAUUACCAGGUCUUUUCUCAUCUCUUUAUGUUUUGAGGUGUUGGAUGAAAUAGGGUUAAUGGUGUUUGCUACCAUUCUACAAGAAAAUAGGGUUAAAAUAUUCUUGUAUUCCUCAGAUUAUUUGUGUCAUGCAAACUCCACUUUAGAAAAUUCCAUUCUAAAUGGUUGUGUGAGAUUAUGUACCAUUCUAAUAUGAUCUCAUGAGGGGAAUUAUUUAGCCUGUAGCAACGCACGGGCACGAUCCUAAUGGAAUUGAAAAGAAUAGAGAUCGCGAUGAACCACGAGAAUAUCUAGUGUUGGAACGCAAAGCGGAGGGCAAGUACCCAUACAAAAUCUAAUAACUCUGCAACAGCCAUCACUAGCAAGUUGUCAUACACUCAUUAUGGUCUUGGCCACGAGACAUGAGCAAGAGAUGCACAUCAUGAUCUAGGAAGCAGCAGCGCGCGGGUAUGGUCGCAUGGAACAGCCUCUUUGCCCGCGCCGGCCACCCCUUCCACUGCUGCUCAAAAGGUGCUCGACAAAAUGCCACUCCAGGACACUGCCCGCGCCGGCGCGCCUGGGCAGGAAAGAAAACAGGAAAAACUCUGAAAAGGGAGUAGUAAUGCACAGAAACUCACAUUGCUAUUCGAGUUGCCAUGAAACGUUGGGAUGGGUGUAAGUAACGGAUCAUAGAGACUGUCCAUUGUCAACUUGUCAUUAUUAAACAAAACUACUAUUAUUUUCCCUCCUGGCCUCGAGAUGCUAAUGGAUGGCCCAAAACUAAUGCAAGAUGCACAUGCUCUCACAUGGUUGAAGACACGCAGAUCAAGAUGCACAGAUCGAACACAUCUGGACGAACGUGGUUCUAUAUUGCUGUAGUGUAUGCAACCAAUUAAACACAUCCACUUGGCUCCUCCAAAGUCAACGCUCGAAGUCUCCAUUUUCCACAAAAGCAGCAGCUCAAACCAAGCGUCCAGCUUCUCUCUCUCCACCCAGCAACACUGUGUUUCCUGUGUCCUGUCACCUGUGCGUGUGUUUUUGGAUCUCCAGGCGUUGCCAUGGCUGAGGUACUGGCCACCAUGGUGGUCGGGCCACUGCUGUCCAUGGUGAAGGAAAAGGCCUCCAGCUACCUCCUGGACCAGUACAAGGUGAUGGAGGGGAUGGAGGAGCAGCACAAGCUCCUGAAGCGCAAGCUGCCGGCCGUCCUGGACGUCAUCGCCGACGCCGAGGAGCAGGCGGCAAAACACAGAGAAGGGGCGAAAGCUUGGCUGGAGGAGGUCCGGACGGUGGCCUACAAGGCGAAUGAUGUCCUCGACGAGUUCAAGUACGAGGCGCUUCGCCGCAAAGCCAAGGCGGAGGGCCACUACAAGGCGCUCGGCAUGGAUGUAAUAAAGCUCUUCCCUUCUCACAACCGUUUUGUGUUCCGUUAUAAGAUGGCAAACAGGCUCUGCAUGAUCUUGCAAGAAAUUGAUGUCCUCAUCGCAGAGAUGAAUGCAUUCAGGUUCAAAUUCAAACCGCAGCCGCAAAUGCUCAUGCAAUGGAGGCAGACGGAUGCUUGCAUCCCCACUGAGUCUGUGGACAUUGCCAGCAAAUCAAGAGCUCAAGAGACGAAGGAUCUUGUUCAUCAAUUGCUCGAGAGCAGUAAGGAUCGAUUGCUUGCUGGAGCCAGCAGUAAGGAUCUCAUGGUCCUUCCGAUAGUCGGAAUGGGGGGGUUGGGCAAGACCACCUUAGCACAGCUCGUUUACAAUGACACUGAAAUUAAGAAGCAUUUCGAGUUGCGGCUCUGGGUGUGUGUCUCUGAUGAUUUUGAUGUGGAUUCCCUGGCUAACAAAAUAGUGAAAGAGAAUGGUUGUGAAGCAAGUGGAAGUUCAUCAGCACUGGACAAUCUUCAAAAGGCAGUGAGUGGGAAGAGGUACCUCCUCGUAUUGGAUGAUGUGUGGAACCGUGAUGAGCCCAGCAAGUGGGAAAGGUUGAAGUCCUACCUUCAGCAUGGUGGCAGCGGUAGCUCAGUGCUGACAACAACUCGCGAUGAAGCUGUUGCUAAACUAAUGAUGGGUACAACUGAAGGAGCCUAUAAACUUGGAAGCUUGGAUGAAGAGUCCUUAGGGAAAAUUAUCAAGGCAAGAGCAUUCGGUUCAAAACAGCCUGGUGAACUAGUUAACAUGGUUGGUAAAGUUGCCAAGAGAUGUGCUGGUUCUCCUUUAGUUGCUACAGCAUUGGGCUCUUUACUGGGUACCAAGACCAGCAAGCAAGAAUGGGAGGAUGUACUAAAUGGAAGCACGAUUUGUGAUGAGGAAAAUGGGAUUUUACCAGUACUUAAACUAAGUUACAAUUGCUUGCCAUCAUACAUGCGGCAAUGCUUUGCUUUCUGUGCUAUGUUUCCCAAGGAUUAUGAGAUUGACGUGCAAAUGCUAAUCCACUUGUGGAUGGCCAAUGGUUUUAUCCCAGAGCAAUCAAAAGUGUGUCCUGAAACUUUUGGAGAAAGAAUUUUCAUUGAGCUCAAGUCAAGGUCAUUUUUUCAGGAUUUGAAGAAUGUCCCAUUUGAUGACAAAUAUUCUAUUUAUAAAAAUGGCAAUAAGCACAGGUAUUGUUCUAGAAUUACUUGUAAGAUCCAUGACCUUAUGCAUGAUGUUGCACAGUCUGCUAUGGGAGAAGAAUGUGCUGCAAUAGCUACACACCCAAGUGAAAAAGAGGAUGUUCUUCGUUCAGCUCGUCACUUGUAUUUGUCAAUCCGUCAACCACAAACUCUUCUGAAUGCUUCCCAAGAGAAAGGAUCUCCAGCUUUCCAAACACUGAUUUGUGACGGAUAUGUAGGAGAUUUGAAGAUUUUAUCAAAAUACAACUCUAUAAGAGCUUUAAAGAUCGUGUGUGGUUCAAUCUUAAGGCCGAAAUAUCUUCAUCACCUGAGGUAUCUUGAUCUCUCAGAAAGUUUCUUUGAAGCACUUCCUGAAGACAUUAGCAUCCUAUAUCAUCUGCAAACACUGAACCUUUCUUACUGUGACCGGCUUAAACGGCUUCCAAAGCAACUGAAGUAUCUGACUGGCCUCCGUCACCUCUACACUCACGGAUGUGGAAAGUUGAAAAGCAUGCCCCCAGAGCUCGGACGCCUAACUUCCCUACAGACGCUUACAUACUUUGUAGCAGGUGCCGAUGGCUCUGGUUGCAGUAAUUUGGGAGAGCUGCAGAAUUCGGACCUUGGUGGUACACUGAAGCUAAGCAAGCUAGAAAAUGUGACAGGAGCAGAUGCACAAGCAGAUGCAGAAGCAGCAGGUCUUGGAAAAAAGAAAAAACUGACCGAACUGGAGUUAUGUUGGACCGAUAGUGACCAGGAAGCACAGAAUAAUAAUCAUAAAGAGGUGGUGGAAGGUCUCAAACCUCAUGAUGAGUUGAAGGCUCUGAGGAUAAAUCACUGUGGGAGCAGAACUUUUCCAACGUGGAUGAAUACUUUGAAAGGCAUGGUGAACCUGAAAUUAUUCCAUUGCAAAAAGCUCGAAGAGCUUCCUGCACUCUGGGAGCUACCAGCUCUGCAAAUUCUUGGCCUGGAGGGUUUGGAGAGUUUACAUUGUUUGUGCAGCGGUGGUACUACACUCUGGGAGUUCACAUUUCCAAAACUGAAGGUGCUUACCUUGUUAGAAAUGGCAAAAUUUGAGGCAUGGUGGGAGACACAUGAGGUACAAGGAGAAGAGCCGAUAUUUCCCAAGGUUGAGGAGCUGGAGAUUAAGGAGUGUAAAAGUUUGACUGCAUUACCAAAAGCAGCGUCGGUGAUUACAGAAUUGUCUGGCGGAGUUAACACUAAGUGCCGCUCUGCAUUUCCAGCAUUAAGGAAAAUGACGCUAGGUGGGUUGAAUAUGUUUGAAAGAUGGGAGGCAGGCGAAGGAACUCCAGGAGAAGAGGUAACAUUUCCUCAGCUCGAGGAGCUGUCAAUCUGGUCUUGUGGCAGCCUGAGUGCAUUAUCAAAAGGGCCAUUAUUGGCUAAGCAACCAUUUGGCGGAGCUGAAACUGCAACCGUUUGUCAUUAUAUUAAGAAGAAAAUACCGUUUUGGUACAACGCACGCACACGGCCUACCAGCCGCUCUGCAUUUCCAGCACUGAGAAAACUAAGAUUAUCUGAUUUGUCGGCCCUUGAGAGGUGGGGGGCAGCCGAAGGAACUCCAGGAGAAGAGGUAACAUUUCCUCUGCUGGAAGAUUUGGAAAUUCGUGGCUGCCCGAAGUUGACUGAUCUACCUGAAGCACCCAAUCUAAGUGAAUUAUCCAUGAGAAAAGGUUGUUAUCAGCAGCAAAUAUCCCUACAGGCAGCUAGCAGAUUCAUCCCUUCAUUGUCCCGUCUGGGUCUGGAUGUGUCACCCGAUGACACAGAAACAACAUUACUGAAUGUCAAGAAGAAAUUGAAUGGUACACUCGCCUUGGCAGCUAUGGGGUUAGGUCGGUGCGACCUUUUUUUCUCCUCCCGCUCAAGCGCACUGGCGCUAUGGACAUGUUUUGCACAGCUAGUAGAUUUGGAGAUUCGGUAUUGCGAUGCUCUUGUCUACUGGCCAGAAAACGUGUUCCAGGUCCUGGUAUGCCUGAGGAACUUAAAGAUUUCCAGAUGCAUCAAACUGACAGGAUGCACACAAGCUUCUGAUGAGCAAUCUGCUCCAGCUUCACAACAUGGUGGACUCCUGCCAUGCCUGGAGUCUCUAGAGAUAGAAAAUUGUGAAUCUUUGGUAGAGGUCCCCAUCCUGCCGGCAUCUCUCAAGAAAUUAUAUAUUCGCAGCUGCAGUAGUAAUGUCGGGUCCAUCGUAUUUGGUCACCCGGAGGAUACGAGAUUGCUGAGUGCAGAAGGUGUUGUACGGCCGAAGACGUCAUCAUUAAUUCCAGGGUGCAACAGCAGUGAGGCCACAGCGUCUACAGCUGUACUGAAGCUGUCAUCUGCAGCCAACCAUCACUUCCUUCCAUUUCCAUGCCUAGAAUCUCUAUAUAUAGAUUAUUGCAGUGGCUUGUCAGAGGUUGCCAAUCUUCCUCCGUCUAUCAAGACCUUGUACAUUUGUGAGUGCGGCAAGCUUCAAUCCUUUUCAGGAGACCUCCGGUUGCUGGAAGAACUCACGCUUUGUCGAUGCAAAAGACUGGUAUCCUUACCGGAUGGGCCUCAAGCAUACUCAUCUCUUAGAGUUCUUCGGAUAAUACAGGAUGGUAUAAAGUUGCUUCCACCAAGCCUACAUAGCCGUUUGGGUUACCUCGAGGUUAAAAGACUAGAUGACCGUCACGAAGGUAAUCUCCAGUUUCUUUGUUUCUUUUAACAAAAUGAUCAGGAGCUUAAUUGUUGUUGCCUAAAAUGCAACUCUGUGCUUAAACAUUCUGUUACCUAUUACAAGAUGUGGUAGGAUUCAGUGAUAAAAAUUUAACGAGCGCAAUAUUUUGAACCUUUUUAGCCAAUUGUUGUUGAUAUAUACAUUAUAUCGAGUACAAUGCACCACUAAUACCUAUAUUUAUGUGCACUUGUGUCAGUUAAAUCCAUUAACUUUCAUAUAUUGCACAUACGGGGUAUCUAAACACUUACAGCUGGAUCAAGAAGUUUAUACACCAAUAUACACUUCACUUUACUGUAGUCAUCCUUGUAUAUCUCCUUUUUGUCCGUACAAAGAAUUUAACUAUAAGAUGAUCUUUGUGGUUCGCUUUUGAUACCUUGGUUGUAAACUUGUAUUUGCUAACUCGAAUCAUGUAAUAAAAUCAAUCAUUUUCCUUUAGUCGUAUUUAAAGCAGCAUGGCAUCAUGGAAUUAUUGCAGCCGAAUUCACUAGCUCCAAUUAAAGUGGCACUUGUCUUGGCGUUUCUCUGGAAAUUCAGUAGCUCCAUUGCAUACAGUUCAAGUAUGUGUAGUUUUGUUUUCAUGGCUUAUGCCUUUUGACAUAAAUAAUAAUUUUCUUUUGAAACAUUUACUAUUGGGUGCCACAGCAUAUUCUCCUGUGUAUAUAUACUUUCUAACAUCAUCUAUGAUCAUGGCCUGAUUGCCAGAACCAACCUGGAAACGUUCAAUCAGGAAGCUGGUGUGCUCGAAAUAGUAGAUCAAGGCCUGACCAAAGAAAAAGUUAUUCAAGGUAUUUUUGCAAAGAUAUCACUAAGGUUUUUAAUAUUAGUGUUCUUGAUGAUUGAUUUGAAAUGAUGCUAGCUCCUAAUGCUGACUUUCUAUGCGCUGUGACUUCCUUGUAGGAUCGUGCCAGAAACGAAGACCUUUAUUUUGAGCAGAAGCGAAGUUCUAGACUGCAAGCAGAAGAAUUUAGCAUACAGAGCUGCGGGCUCCAGUCUUUUAUCCUUAUUUUUAUUUCUUUUGAGCCAUGACGUGUUUGCAUUCGUGUCUGCUUCAGCCUCCAACACAAGCGAAACACAGGCAGCACUUUCAUUUUAUGAUUUGUUUAUCCACAUACAUGACCGACUGCCGUAGAGUAGACCAACAGUCCAACGUACUCAUGUAGCUCGACAAGCUAUCCAAGCUGCUGCUUUAUAUGAACUGAAAGUGCUGAAUUUUCUCCUGCAUCCUGGAAGGCUUUGGAUGGCACGGUCUUGUGCAGAGGUCUCAUUGUUGUUAACCUGUUUCUUCAAAACUGCAUGUACAGCAACAUUUUCUCCUGGCAGUGCUGCAAUGGAAUUGAAAAGAAUGGUGAUUCUUAUUAUAGUAUAAUUGUGAUGUAUAGGCUGGGACGCAAAGCGAUGAAUGUACAUGCAUGAGCAAGGAAGAAGGGGAUGGAACAGAACAGAGCAAGAACGAACUGCCAGAGCAAGAAGAUGAACGUUAUCUGUAUAGAUAAAAAAUUUUAAUAAAAAUUUUCAUGAGUUAUCCUUUGUCUGGGGCUACAGUACCAAUCCUGCAUUUCGAAUUUGGGACUGCCCUCCUUCAUGGUGUGAUCCAAAUUUCAACAAAAAUUAUCGUAGUGUGGCUACGGUUGUUUCAUACGAUAACUGUCAAUGACACGGUGGCACAUGCAGCUGCGCACGUAGGACAGAACCGCCAACUCACCCCGCCACGUCAACUCCUCUCAACAGCGAUGCUCCCCAAGCGAGCAGAGCAGCGAAGCCCGCCUCGAAAUCUCCGCCACCCCCAUCGAACUUGCCACACGCCACCACCACGGGAUCUCCCUCCACAGUCUCCGCUCCCACUCCCCCGCCACAGCCAUGGCCGCCGCCGCAGCAGCGCACUCCCUCCUGCACCCACCGGCGGCCCGCAAGGCCCCCACAAGUUCUUCCUCUCCUUCCCCUUCCCCAUUCCUCCGCCUCCCGGCCCCCGCGCGCCCGCGCCUCCCGCUACGCCUCCGCUCCACCUCCCCGGCCGCCGCCUCCGACCUCACCGACUUCCCCAACCCGAACGGCAUCCUCGCGCCCAUCGACGUGGACGCCGCCACGGAGGCGGAGCUUCGCGAGAACGGGUUCCGGAGCACGCGCCGCACCAAGCUCGUCUGCACCGUGGGCCCGGCCACCUCGUCGCCCGAGCAGCUCGAGGCGCUCUCCGUCGGCGGGAUGAACGUCGCCCGCCUCAACAUGUGCCACGGGGACCGGGAGUGGCACCGGGGCGUCAUCAGGGCAGUCAGGAGGCUCAACGAGGAGAAGGGCUACGCCGUCGCCGUCAUGAUGGACACCGAGGGCAGCGAGAUCCACAUGGGGGACCUCGGCGGCGCCUCAUCGGCCAAGGCGGAGGUGAGGUGCUGUGCUUGUAUGUAAGCUGCUGUCCAGUUUUGGACUUGGCGUUGCAGUUUUCAGUUUUCAGAUUGUACGCCUUCACUUGAACGUAUUCCGUGAAAUGUGCUUGUGCAAUGUGGAUGAGAGGAACGGGUGGUGGCAGUGGCAGUGUCAGGCAUUGCCGUUUCAUACUUCUGCAAAACCUAGCGAGUCAGGAUUUCACCAAAAUGUUUUUUUUCCAUCUUCAAAAUGGCUCAGUUGAUUUAGAUUUUCAGCUCAUGUUUGAAAUUGCUAUAGAAGGAGAAUCAUUCAGAAUUUCAGAUUGUCAUCAAACACUGGAUUGUGAAAGUGGUAAUCAUUUUCAAGGCUUUCAAUCUUUCAAAAAAAAAUCAAGGCUUUCAGUAUCAGUGCAACUCAAAUAAAGUGCAUGGUAAACAUCACCAUGUUUUGGCUUUCUCUGCAUAUAAGACAGGGUGCUGGAGUGGUUCGACCGCGUUGAGGUCCCAAUCCAACCGGUCGGGUUUUUUUCUAGGUGUCAAGUUUGAGUGCUUACCCGUAUUGACAUCCCAAUCCAACCGGGCGAGUCUUGUUUAUUUUUCGUUUCUUUUCCUUUUCCUGCCUAUGGCCUCCCAGGGCUGUAGUCUUGUAUUUUCUGCUAUAUCAAUACAAACUCGCACUAUCUUGUGCGGUUCGUUCAAAAAAAAAGUGAUAGGCAUUGAGGUUCUGAAGGUUGUUUUUUAGAUCUUAGGCCCAAGCCUCAAAUGGCUUUUUUCCCCCUGUUGCAAACCUUCCUUUAAGUAUUGCAUCUAGCACCGGGGAAAACACAGGAAUAUCUUUCAUUUCAGCAACAGAAUCUCUUAUAAAAAGGGCGUACCCAGUGCGAAAGCUCCCACACAAGGUGGGGUCUGGGGAAGGGAAUUCCUAGACAACCUUAUCCUUGCAAUAUUCUUUUAAAAUUCUGCAAAGAGGCUGGUUCGAACCCAGGACCUCCGGGCCACAAGUGGAGAGUUUAAUUUGAAUUAGCUUUAUUAGUAGAAUGCUUGGCCCAUUUAUUGGUAAAUGGUAAAAUUCAUAAAGAUUAUCCUUAUUCCGUUAAUCAAUUUUAGGUGUUUAACUUGCAGCAAAUUCGAACAAUGACAGACAUGCAGCAUAUUGUUAGUUCAUCUGUAAGACUUAGCUUGCUGGUUUAAUGCUUUGUUAAAGGUUUGAAGUUAAUGUGUCUACUGGUAGCUACUGAAUCUCUUUAUAGUUUAUUUAUAUCUUUUUUCUUUAUUAGUAUAAAGCCAUGUAGAAGUUUUCAGAAUACUGAAAUUUCUAGUGUUCGUUUUGUGGAGUCUCUCCACCUACAUCCUUUUUUACAACUGCAUUUCAGAUCCUUCAGUUAUAGCAUGAAUAUUUUUUAAAAAAGAAACUUCUAGGUAUAUUCUUGCCCGUAGUUAAUGUUAGUGUCUGAUGAUAGUUGUGUUUUAGAUAAUACAUUAAUAUUAGUAAUCCAAAGAAACUGAACUACUUCUAUGAUUCUAACUGUCAUCAGUGCUAGCUAGGGUCACUAUGCCAAAAGGAGAUUAUAUCACCAUUCGGCUGUUUAUCUUAAGUUUUUAACCAUACAGUCAGAAGUUUGAUUGUACACCUAUUCAAUAAUCCUAGGUUUUCUUGAGCCACGUUAUUUACCCAAUGACUUCCAUUUUUCUUGGAAUUAAAACAUUUCUGAAGUAACUAAUAAAUCAUCUCACAUUUGUUGGAUUCCACAGGAUGAAGAAGUCUGGACAUUUAGUGUUAGGUCAUUUGAAUUGCCUCUCCCAGAACGAACUAUUAAUGUGAUUAUGACGGGUUUGCUGAAGGUAUAUAAGCUGACCUAUUUGUUGAUAUCUUUCGCUGUUAUUGUUCACUGCCAUAAUUUUGCAUCAAAAUCCUACACAGAUGUGAGAGUUGGUGAUGAGCUUCUUGUGGAUGGUGGAAUGGCUCGGUUUGAGGUGAUUGAGAAGUUGGGACCAGAUGUUAAGUGUCGCUGCACGGAUCCUGGUUUAUUGUUGCCACGUGCGAAUCUUACAUUCUGGCGUGAUGGCAGUAUUGUCCGUGAGAGGAAUGCUAUGCUUCCUACAAUUUCAUCAAAGGUAAAUGCAGUAGCAUAAUAAAUUUCUUGCUGCAAUUACCAAAAGACCGCAAAACUUUGUUAAUCUAUGCCCCCCCUUGGUACUAGUAUUGCAAUGGAUUUACAGCUUGUUUUUUCUGUCAAUGCCAUGGUCAGUUCAAAACAACAUGUAUUAGUUCAAAGCCUUACAUUGUGCACUGAAACUCAUCUCUCGAUAGUUUUUGUCAGCUAUUUCUUAAGAAGGCUUCUACCACCUAGAGUUGUUUAACUGAAAAUUUAAUCUUCUAGUAGCAGAUACUAAUAUUUUAAGUUUAUAACAAUGCUGCUCCUUUUCUUGUGACAACUUGUGCAGGAUUGGCUUGACAUAGACUUUGGAAUUGCCGAAGGUGUAGAUUUCAUCGCUGUUUCAUUUGUCAAGUCAGCAGAAGUAAUUAAACAUUUUAAAAGCUACAUAGCUGCAAGGAGCCGUGGCAGGUACCAGGAGUAUAAUUCUGUACUGUUAUUUAAGUUUAUGCUUUCUUGGAAAAGCCAUAUUUGACAUUAUUAAACUGAUAACGGGUGUUCCUAGAACUGUUCUGCAUGCUUAGCCACUGUUUGUGGUUGGUUCCUGGUCAGUCCCAGAUGAUUACUCAUACUGGUAGGGUUUUAGUUGUAUUCUAACCCCCAAAAAAUCAGCCUGGAAUAUAUUGGUUUCUAUGUAGUUACUAGAGAAAACAGUGAAUCAACAAGAUAUCCCCUUUCUGGUGUUCCUCCUUUUCUAAAUAAUGCUGUGGAACAACAUGAUUCACGGAAGAAUAAUAAGAACUGUUUAAAAUUGUAUGGCUUGCCUCAACCUGGUGUCUUCUCUGUGCCAAAAAAACAACACUUGGUGUCAGGUGUCAUCUCAGCACCUACAAUUCAUCUGCAUGCACUAGAAAAAUUGUGUGUGUGUAGCUCCUGCCAAAAUUGCCAGUUUGCCAUUGUACGUCCAUCUCAUGUUUUGUGGCUAAAACUCAGUUAGUGACACAAAAAGUUACCUAGAUUAAAAUCGCUAAUCCCAAACCGCAAGUGAUAUCAAUCUUGCUAUGUUAUCUUUUAUACUUCAAUUAAUUGGGCCUUGCAAACAUCCAAAUCAGAAAGGAUUGCUAGUACCGUGUUUCUGAAAUGUUUCCUUCAUUUUGCUGAACUUUAUAGGUUCCUUACUCUAAUAAUGCUUUAUUUUAUAUGAUCAGUGAUAAGCAGUCAUUGCGAAAAUUGAGAGCAUUGACUCUUUAAAGAACCUGGAGGAGAUCAUCCGAGCAUCAGAUGGUGCCAUGGUAGCCACUCUGGAUAUGGGGGCACAGGUUCCCUUGGAGCAGGUCCCCUCAAUACAAUAAAAGAUAGUUCAACUGUGCAGGCAGCUCAACAAGCCAGUCAUUGUUGCUUCUCAGCUCCUUGAAUCAAUGGUCGAGUAUCCUACUCCCACAAGGGCCGAAGUUGCCGAUGUUUCUGAAGCUGUCCGCGCCAGCGUGCGGAUGCUCUAAUGCUUUCUGGUGAGUCAGCAAUGGGAAGAUAUCCAGAGAAGGCUCUUAGUGUUCUGAGGAGCGUUAGCCUCAGGAUUGAGAAGUGGUGGCGGGAGGAGAAGCGACAUGAGGCACUGGAACUUCAAGGUGUUUCAUCUUCAUUCUCUGACAAGAUAUCAGAAGAAAUCUGCAACUCGGCAGCUAAAAUGGGUAAGUACUGCCACCAUCGUAUUCAGUGCAUACCAUAGUUAUGUUGUCAUAGCAACUGAUAUAGCAGCUGACGCCAUCUUUGUUUUCACAAAGACUGGCCACAUGGCCUCCUUGCUCUCACAGUGCCGUCCUGACUGCCCAGUUUUCGCCUUCACAACAUCGACGUCCGUCAGGAGGCGGCUAAACCGUCAGUGGGGCCUCAUCCCAUUCCGCCUCAGCUUAGCAACUGAUAUAUUCAAUUGCUUUGCUGUCUCAUCUUCCUAUUAUUGUCCAUUAUCUUGGUUACUGACAGAACAUUUAGAUUCCAUUUUCUUAGAAGCUGUGUCUAAACAAAACCAAUUUCAUCUGCAGCUAACGGCCUGGGAGCUGACGCCGUCUUUGUUUUCACAAAGACUGGCCACAUGGCCUCCUUGCUCUCACGGUGCUGUCCUGACUGCCCAGUUUUCGCCUUCACAACGUCGACGUCCGUCAGGAGGCGGCUAAACCUUCAGUGGGGCCUCAUCCCAUUCCGCCUCAGCUUCUCAGACGACAUGGAGAGCAACCUGAACCGCACCUUCUCCCUGCUAAAGGCCAGGGGCAUGAUCCAGUCUGGCGACCUGGUGAUCGCCCUCUCUGACAUGCUGCAGUCCAUCCAGGUGAUGAACGUACCCUAAGAAAGAGCCUAAUCCUCUGUGGGAUGAUCAUAUGAGAUGGAAGAUGGACCAUGAACUUUAUCGGCACCUUGAAGGACAGUUCCUUGCACCAAAAUUAUUCGCUUUCACCCUGUAUUAGAUGCUGGGCAGGACUAGAGAACUGUGGCAAUAAUUUGCAGCUUUGUGCCCUGCUGUAAAACUGUUAUAUUACUAUUAGCUUUAUUUAUAGUCUGACCUUGGGGUGACUCUUUAAUGUGCAAGCUUUGGGUCUUGCUGUGGGCCGUAAUGGGCUUAUAAGUGAAGCGCAGGGAGAAGAGGAAGAACCCGCUGAAGAACAUGGCUGCUGUGCUCAAGCUCAACCCCUACCUCGGCACUGCCCGCAAGAUGGCUACCCUCGCUAAGGUUGCCCACAUCAAGGCAAGGAAGGAGAAGCUCGAAUCCAAGAGGACCAAGCUUAGCCCGGUAUGACCAUUUUUCUCCCUCCAUUUCAUUUCUGAUUAUGUCAAUAAUACCUGAAUUGAUCACUUAGAUUGCACAUGUAGUUCUGGUGUACUGUUUAUGACUUGUAGUGUUUGCUAUGGUACAUUUUCUGCCCCUUGUAUGAAUGGUUUAAUUUGUUUGAUGUAUCAUAAUUUGAGCAAAUUUCAUUGCUUGAAAGUAUUAGUACUGGAGUUCUGUGUGAAUAACAUGAUUCUGCUGUAGUGAUUCUUGUUGUUGUUUAGUUAUGUGCAUUGAUCUAAUGUUGUGCCAACAAAUAUUCUUGUAAUUGCGCGUUUGUGCUGUAUCAGUAUGCAUGGGUAAUCUAGUUUGUCAUUGUUUACUAUUUGCUCAGGGUGUUUCGGUACCCUUAAUUGCUUUUAGUAAGGCAUUUGUCUAUGUUCUGUUCCAUUUCUUUAUAUGCUAGUAGAUAUCUGAGCAAUUGUUUGUUCUACUCUUUUCUUAGAAAUGAUUUAUGGUACUGGAAGCUUCGGUAAUCUUUGCAUAUAUGGCAUAUGACAUGCCCUGGUAACUCAUGGGUCAGGGUUUAUCUUGAAUGUUUUAGUUCGAUCCCUCUUGUUGAUUUGUGUUCUGAAUUGGUAACUUGGGACUAUGCCUUGUUAGAAUGUGAUGAAUAGAUUGAUGUUUUACUAAGCGUUUUGAUUACAGAAUACUAGAAUGAAUGUUAUUACAUUAUCCAUGUUUCGAACUGAAUCCCAAAAUUUACUGAAUCCCUUCACAUCCAUAUAUCUCCUGAAUAUUUGUUUAACUGUAUAGUUUGAUAUGUUUACAUUGUUGUCAAGAUUCUUUGUUGCAUGCCCAUAUAUCUUCUGAACACUACAGAACUGACCAAUAUGUGAACUACUGUUGGUUUAAUGUAUCAGAUGCUGAUUAUUUCGUUCAGCUGUAUGCCCUUUUGUCAACAAACACGUACUGAACAAUAUCUGUAGAUCCAUUGUUGUAGGAGGAGGCUGCCAAGGUCAAGGCUGCUGGAAAGGCAUGGCACAGGACCAUGAUCUCAGACAGCGACUACACCGAGUUUGAGAACUUCUCAAAGUGGCUCGGCGUGACUCAGUGAGCGGGUGCUAUCUAGUUAAGUUUUGAGUAGUAGUGUGGCUGAACUUAUCUCGAGAGGGUUUAUCACUUUGUUUUAUCCUGCAUCAUCAUAAGAAUUCAAUCUGUGGGAUUUUAAGACAAGUCUUCCUUUUUGUUAAUGCGUUGCUGUGAAAUCAUUCUAGUAAAUAUUCACCUUGACGAUCUUUUGGAAGGACAGCGACCACAAAAAUUAUGAAUUGGGUAGAUGGAGGAUUUAUGUGCUGUAUUGAGAGAGCCCGUAGGUGCUAGAUUUCUCCGGAAACGUUCGAUUUAAGCUUGUAGAUAUUGUGAUGAAUCCCGUCACCAUUUUCCCAUGAAACAUUCUGAAAGUUCUGGUAGUGGUAUCCACUGCUGCAGUUUUACAAGCAUGUAGGGUUGUUCCUCUGUUUGUUGAUUAGGUAUUAUGUUUUGCACAGUCUUAAAGUUUAGAAGGUAAUUACCCAGGUGUUCAAGUAUACCUUCAAGUUUUUUUUUACACAGUGUACAUAUUACCUUGUUAUAGUGAGAACAGAGAAGUCCACCGCAAAAGUAAAGCCCAGCAUAUAUUGUUCUUGCAAUAGACCAUGUGUGUAUAUGCCCCUUUGUAGGUUGAUUAUUCCAUUCAGAACAUAGCAUGGACCUCUAUAGUGUUUUGGAUAAAUUUUUUUAUUAUAAAGGUACUUGCCGAGGCACCAAUUUGGGAGUCUGCGGGGUAAAAUGUUCCCGGCGUACUUCAUAUUGAUAUCAGUGUGUUCAGCGAUAUCUGUUGCAGCAUUUGCAUACCUGCAUGGAUUCCUUCUUUCGGCCCUUAUCUGUAACCUUUCAAACCUUCUGGUCAUCACACCUAUGAUGGUUGAAGUAAAAUACUUUGUUUGUGGCCUUGAGCUUUUUACUACCUCUCGUUUUGCAUUUGCCAGAUGCUAGUGUGCUAGUUAUACAGAAUAUCACAAAAUUAUAGUUUGAGUAUGUGAUAAUAUCGGUACUAAUGAAUGGAAUCUUACACUUUUGAUAUGCAAUUUUGAGAUUUACUUUGCUGAUGGUAGUAGAGGUAUGUAAAGCAAAAGAAAGUUACUUUUAAAUUAUUAGUUAUAUGGUUAUAUUUUAUAGGUCAGCGAUUUCUGAGUACUAGUCAUAGCAGCGCUCACAGGAAUAUACUGACUUGUUCUUUAUUUUAUUUUCAAGAAUUAAUACAGAUAGCAUAAAGCAGAAUCCAGUCCAUGAAUAGUUAGCGAUCUAGCAUCUGGAGGUGAAAAUCUAGCUUGGUUAGAACUUAGAAGCAUAGUUGUGGAUAAAAUUUGUGGGAAUCUAAUUUGACAAAACAAGUAGACAUGUCUGGCUGCAUAUAUGAACCUUUCAAACUGCAUCUUAUUGUUUCUGAGAUCUGAUUGGUGUUUUUUCCACAUUUGCAUUGUAGCACACAUCACUUGGAUAUUGUUUUAGAGAGCAAACUUGACAAUCGAGAUAUCUUGAUUGCUGAAAUCGAUGCUGACAAUGUUCUGUUAUUUGAGUAGGAUAGGGGUUAUACAUAAAAAAAAUAAGAAGAGAGAAUGUGCCUUGCAGGCUUGUACUUUGGUUGGUUGAGCAUUGCUCUUUGUAGUUUGCGCUUUAAUUUUCACCUGUGCCUAUUGAAUUGCUCUCUUUCACCUAGAUGAUGAUGAAGAGGUACAAGAUAGAAGGACCUCGUGAGGCCGGGUACUCCAAGAAUGAGGAGAUGGCCAAGAGGAACCCUGCCCUGGCGGCAAUCAGUCAGAAGUUCAGGAUGAUCCACGUGCUGUCGUCACUGGCCAGCCCCAUGUCCUUCGGCAGCCUGGCCAUCCACUCCUGAUACCUCCCCAGCAAGCUCGACCCGUGACUGCCUGACCGAGUGUUAGCUGGUGCCUGGUGAGUGGUGACCUACGAACUCUGAACUUAGCCUAGGUUUCUGUGGAGAAAAAAGAAGUCAUGUCUGUGCAAGAACAUUGGUCCUCGGGAUGAUAUGAUUAGCCUUUAAUAAUGUACAUAAUGCAGGAAGUUCGUUUCAUUUUGUAAUUUGUGUAUAGGAAAUGUGUCUGUGGCAAAUUCCUGAUAUUUUACAGUCAAGAAAUGCAGCUAAACAUGGUCUCUCGGCUCAUGGAGCUUGGGUACAAAGAAAUGACUAGGAUCUUCUGGAACUUUUAGAAUGCCUACUAUCUGAAAAAAAAAUAUUGGCCAGAGAUGACGAGUUUGGUAUGCAUUCCUGAACACUGGUUUCUCUUGUCUGGUGGUCCAAAACCAUAUGGCGUUCCUUCAUCUAGGCCAAAUCUAUUAUAUUCACUUUCUGAAGAUAAUAUCCAGUGAAGCCAAGCCGAAGUCUAGAAAACAAGUCCACAUUGCAAACUGAAGAAUUUAGCAUAUGGAACUCCAUGCUCUAGUCUUUCAUCCUUCUUCAAGCUGAAGUCCUUGAUUUUGAUCACAAAACAAGUCCCAGACUGCAAGUUGAAGAAUAUAUAGCAUAUUGAUCGAGCUCCAUGCUCCAGCUUUUUAUCCUUAUAUUUUCUUUUGAACUAUGGCGUGUUUGAACUCUGUGUCCGCUCCAGCGUAAGCAAAACACAUACACAGCUAGCACUUUCAUUUCAUGACGUGUUUGUCUACAUUACUGCAGAAGUACUUGCCAUAGAAUAGGUCAACAAUCCAACAUACUACUACUCAUGUUGUUGUUCGACAAGCUGUCUAAGCUGCUGCUUGAAUACGAACUGAAAGUGCUGAACUUUGUCCAUGUUAUGUUGGUAGUAUAUCUAAUACUGAACGGUGUGCAGGGUGAUCCUGCAAGGCUUUUAGAUAGCACGGUCUUGUGCAGAGGUUACGUCUGCUCUGUUUCUUCAAAGUUACGUCUGCUCUGUUUCUUCAAAGUUACGUCUUGCAAUUGCCGUAACAUUUCUGCUGGUAAUUCUGUAAUCUCUACUAUAAAAAAAGCAAAGAGGACACAAAAAUGCGGUCCGUCGUUUGGCCGCCGGGCGAUGUCCCUCGCUCCAGACAUUUUGGGCCGUCCGCUUGCAGCACCCUCCGCGCGCAGCCGUUGAUUUGGAGAUUCCGUGAGUUGCGGUGCACGCGCUUCCUCCUCUGUCCGUUUCCCUCCGCGCGGAUCCCUUCCUCCUGCGGUCCUGCCCAUGCGUCGCCAUCCGCCGCCGACGCAACUCCCUCAGUCGCGCCGCCUGCCGCCGCCGCCGCCACUCCCUCCGUCGCCGCAACUUCUCCCUCCCUGCGUCGCCAUCCGCCGCCGCCCCUCCCUUUCUUCACCUCCGCGCCGCCAGAAACCCCCGUCCCUGCCUGCGUCGCCAUCCGCCACCGCCCCUCCCUUUCCUCGCCUCCGCGCCGCCGGAAGCCACCGCCCCUCCCUUUCCUCGCCUCCGCGCCACCAGAAGUCACCGCCCCAUCUUGAGUCGCCUCAUCGCCGCAAGCGACUCCGCCCCUCCCUGAGUCGACGGAACACCAACAGUCGAGGCUACGCUGCACGCCAACUAGAUUUCUCAGUUCGUUGGGUUUGAUCACGGUACCUCUCAGUUUCUUAGUUUGUCGUGCAUCUGAACUUUGUGUGACGUUCAUGUUCUUGUCAUUUGAUUUGUUUGGUCGGUGUUCAUGUUCUUAGAAUCUGGUGCUACGUGACAUUAUAGGCGGUGUUGUGUUUUCUGAAUUGUCGGCGACUUGAAAAUUUGAGAUUCAGAUCGUGAUUUGUUUAGGUGGACAAUUAAAAUUUGAUGAUAUGUCCUUCCCGAGAGCGAAUUGCGCGCGCACAGCGGCGGCAAUGGCACCGCCGCGUUCGCACCUGCUGCCCGCCUUGCUCGUCCUGAAUUGUCGGCGACUUGAAAAUUUGAGAUUCAGAUCGUGAUUUGUUUAGGUGGACAAUUAAAAUUUGAUGAUAUGUCCUUCCCGAGAGCGAAACGUAUUAACUGUGGUAAUUGAGGAUGGUAGAGAUAAUUUACUCUGCAUGUAAACUGAGGACUGAGAUUCAAGAGUAAUCAUAGAACACGUAGACCACAUUGACUGGAAAAUUAGUCCUCUCCAAUUUUUGCUGAUCUGUCCCUGAUAGUACAUAAUUAUUUUGCCACUUUUUGUGCAAGCUUAUCGAUGUACGAAUUCAUAAUGGAAAGUAAGGAUUGCGAUAGUAGGGAUUGGGAUAUUUGUUAUGCUUAUCGAUGCUUAUGGCAAUGCUUCAUAAAAGUAGUAUACACCGCCGUGCACUUCGAAUUCAUGAUGGACAGUAGGGAUUGUGAUAUGUGAUAUGCUUAAGGCAAUGCUUCAUAAAAAGAGUAUGCACCUCCGAGCACUUCAAGUGUACUCUGAUGCACACACAAGCACACAGUUCUAGAUGGUUAAGCCGGUCUGUGAUUAGCAAGAUUUUCAUGAGAAUGGUAUCAGUUAUCAGACAUUCUGUGAUAUCUUGAAUGGAAAAAUAAAAUCAAAAAGGAAAGCACGAUAAAUAGAUAAUUUUUCUUGAAUUCUCCCAUAUUCAGAAAAUUGACUGACCGAGUGUGGAUAACUCCUUUUUUUUGUUACUUGGACCUCAGUUGGCCUUUAUAUUACUCUGAAUAUGUAAGAUUUCAAUAAACAGUAAAUUUGAGGAGGAUUUGCUAUCAUCUUUUGAAUCGUUCAUCCCGGUGGCAGAUUUCUUGAUUGCCUUAAUUGGGGCUGCCCCAGUUAAUGAGAACUAAAUAGCUCUCAUGAUGAAAACAAGUGUUAUUCAUAACAGCUACUUGUAGUGAUGGUGUCUGGCAGAGUACCUUGCUUAUCCAGUGCUUUCCUGUGACAUUCCAUUUUGCUUUUCUCUUGAAGGGUGUUUAUGUUCGUCGGGUUGUGCCUACUGCUCCAGCAAGCAGUGUUUUGUGAAAGGUAACAUGUAGUAAUUAGAUCCAGUUCACAUAUUGAAUACCUUUGGUUGUCCUCCAAUUUUUGCUGAUCUAUCCCACAUAAUUUUUCUUCUUUUUUCCACACAAUUUUUCUUCUUCUUGCCACAUAAUUUUUGCGGCUACCAUGUUUGACAAUAAAAAUUGGUAUACAGUCAUCUACAAAAAUCAUCCCCUGGAUACAAAUAGUACAUCCCCCUGGUACAAAUAGUACAUCCCCCUGGUUAGCAAUUUUGCAGAUGUAGAAGUACAGUUCCAUUACCGGUUAACCACUAUCUACGUUUUUAUUUUCACUAGGAGUUACAUUAAAAUAAUUCAUUCAUAUGUUCUGUAUAAAGGAAUAGACAAAAAUGGCACCACUUUGUUUUACCUAUGUACAAAUAACUGUCUGAUUGGAUAUUACAACAACAAACAAGAAAAGGCUUCAUGAUCAUUUGAAUUAGAACUACAACCUAAAAAAUAAAUGAUCUGUCCAGUUAUUAAUAUUCUGGUUUCAUACUGCAAAAUAGAAAAGUGAUU
rnacentral:lncRNA from 1 species